rnacentral:lncRNA from 1 species
ACCCACCAUCAAUCUUUGGCAUGGUAAACUUCAGUUUUCGCAGCCUCUCCUCAUGAUUGCCUCUUCUACGAUGUCGGCGACCAUAUCGAUAUUGAGAAUGAUCAUCAUCAUCCUCCUUUUCAGAUUCUUCAUCAUCAUGAUUUCUUCGACCUUGACCUCUUCCCCUACCUCGGUUCCUCCUUCCUUGUUCCCUUGAGCUUCUACUAGCAGCACUUCUAUCACUCAUAUCUCCAUCUUCACCAUGGUUGCUUGCUCCAUCAUGAGGUUGGCGACGCCUUCUGAUUUCAGUCAUAAGGUUCUGAAGAUCUUGUGUCAACCUAUCUUGCUUUUCUUCUAUGCUUUGUCGGAGUUCAUUAAAUUGUGCCAAAGUGACACAAUCCUCUAUUCCAUCACCCAUCUUCCUGUAAGGUUAGCUGAAUGCAAAUAAAUUGUAUUUGUGGAAUAUUAAAAUUUGGUGGCCCUCACAACUCACCACUCUAACCACCAAGGCUCUUAUGAAUUCCACUGCUGCCGAUUACAAGGAAAACAAAUGUGUGGUGGCAACUGAAAGUGAUGGCGAGGCGAAUACAAGAACAGAGAGUACCGAUUAUGAUGAUUUUUUUAUGUGGAGCUUGGUGGGGAGUAAUAUACAAGGAAUGCAAUCUGAAUUCUAGUUGUUGUAAAGUUAAGUAACGAUCCAAACUAGAAGUUCUCUGCCCAGUGCUGACCAAAAGAUAUGAAAGAAGUAAAUGAUCACACACACACAAAGAAAUUUCAGAAUUGAUGCAAACAAGGAGUAUGAUUGGGAUGCAAGUGUUGCAAUCAGACCCAACCAAAGUUUUGCACCAAACAAAGAUACCAAACUGGUUGCAGAACUUGAUAUGAAACUUUCAGCACUUGUGCACAUAAACCAACUAAUCUUUCAGACUUUCUCUCUGAACUUUUCUCAACUUUUUUUGUCACUUCCCUUUUUUUGCACUUUGUUUUCUUUUUUUGACACACUUUUUUUCUUUUUAUAUAGAACUAAAAAUAGGAAUCAGAUUAUGAUACUUGCACAACUAAAGACAGAAAUAAAACAACAACCAGUAGCUAGAUAGGAUCAAAGUUAACACAAAGGAUGAUAUAGGCUAUAGAGAUUUUUUUUGUGGAGAUUUUUAGAUAUAAAAGAGGCACAAAGAACACGCGAAGGAUAAAUGUUCAGCAACUAAAACAAAGACUCUAAUGGACUGCAACUUAACCGAACUCACUAAAAUAACAGAUUUAAACAAAGGUCUAAGCAAUAUAUUUUUCUGGCUUUUCGGUGGAUAGGACGAAGCAAAAUAUAUAUGUAGCUAGGGAUAAAAUUCCUAACGUGGUAACGAAAUCUUUGAUACCAGAUGAUGCGUCACGUUGUUCCGAUCUUCACGACGUAGGAUGAACACCGAUAACUAGCUGAAGAACAGCCGGAUAACUUGCUGCAAGCAGCGAUAACUAGUGUAACCUGGCAAAUAAAACUCGAAGGCAACCACCGUCUUUAACCGGCAACCUGAAUCGAUGAUUCGCCCAACCACACUCUCAAGGAACCAACCAACACAGCCUACAAUCAAUCAAGAAAUACCUUGAAGGGAGUAGGAGCACCAAUUGGGAGCGGAUGAAGCUGCCGCCUAUGUAAUCACGCGAGGAAAUCGCAAGAGCAUAGGGGUAGAGAUCACUCUUUGGAUUUGUUAGCACGCAGCUGAACAAAGGGGUUCUGUAUUUCAGUUAUCAAAGACUUAGAUUACAAUGCGUCUUAGGGGGUAUUUAUACUAGCAACAGCCCUGCUUGAUAGGUAUGAAAACGAAAUAGAGUUUCUGAGGGAAGACAAUGUGAAAGGUCCCCUCAAAUGGAUUCCCGAAGUGGCUUCGCGUGACUGUUGGCCUCUAGAGGAGUUUCCAAUAAACUGACCAUAACUUUUUAAUGGGAAGUCCAAAUUAUGAAUCGUUUCUUGGGUGUGAAACUAGACUCAAGGGAUUUCCAGCAGUGUAUGCCAACCAGCAUGAAACAUUGUAGAUUGGUACAGUUUUACUUGGCAAGUUGUACCAACAUUUUGUCACAACAAACUGUUGACCUUCUGAGCAGUUUGUACUAAUUCUAGUCUACGAGCAAUAUGGAGUAUCUAAACUGGUCACAACUAGAAUCAUUGGAAAGUAGACUCGUCGCUCAUGGACCUUCAUAGCUUUUGUGAGUAAAAAGUUAUGAAGAUUUCUUUGCACUGGUCCAUUUUUGACUUCCACUGGUCCAUUUUUGACAUCUUCUAGAACUUGCACUGGUCCGUUCUUCUUGGUCUGAUUCUUCCUUCUCUUCUUCUAUAUACCGGAGUACAAUCAAGGUACAACACUUAGGUAGUAUAUAAUUCUCAUUAAUGUUAAAAUGAAUCUCACAAAGUAGCGCGUGGACCUCUUGUUGUAGCUUCUUUGCACGACUACGUGUAAUCGGUCCAUCGAUGACUUGGGCUGGUGUCGGUGUAGGUGAAACUUGAGUGGGUGUAGCUUGACUUGGAGCUUGUGACAUCUUGCUUGGUGGCAUGGUCAUAUCAGAGGGGGAACUAGGACCGGGGCGGAGGUCAACGUUUUCUUCAGGCUAUCAAGGGCUUCCUCGGCUUCGGGGGUCCACGAGAAAUGUUCAGCCUUUUUCAAGAGCCGAUAUAGCGGCAACACCUUUUCUCCAAACCUUGAGAUGAAACGGCUUAGUGCUGCCAAACACCCCGUGACUUUUUGCACUCCCUUGAUGUCUCGAAUCGGCCCCAUUCUUGCAAUGGCCGAGACUUUCUCGGGAUUGGUACCCCAAGAGCUUGCCUCGGGGUACGCCAAAGAUGCACUUCUCGAGGUUGAGCUUGAUUUUGUUGGCGCGUAGACAACCGAAGGCGAUCUAGAGGUCCUCAAUCAGGUCAGUUCGUUUUUUCGAUUUCAUGACGAUGUCGUCGAUGUAUGCCUCGACCGUCGACCCUAUGUGUUUACCAAACACGUGAACCAAAAAAGUUUGUAUUUGAUAUCACCAAAGACGAUAGGAUAUUUGACUUUCUGCUGCUUCAGGAGGGGCAAAUUAAGUUGUCACCCAACCAUGUGAUUCCAUCGUCAGAAGAGUUAAAAAAGAUUAAGUAUUGCAAGUGGCAUAAUGCAACAUUUCGUAGUACAAAUGAGUGCAAGGUUUUCACGCAACAGCUGCAAUCGGCUAUAGAGUCUCGGAGGAUUAUGUUCGAUAGCACCAAAGCUCAAAAGCCGAUGAAGAUUGACCAACAUCCUUUCCCUACAAAUAUGUUGGAUGCUAAGGGAAAGACCAAAGUAUUGACUUCAGAGGCAGCUGAAAGAAGCGCAUCGGUAGAUCCUCAGCACUAGAUUACCGCCGAUGAUACCAAAAGCAAGGGCUUCUUCCAGGAAUGAACCAGCUCAGGAGUGCGAAGUUCGGUAUCGUCGCCAACAGUAAGAUCAUCGUAGGGAAGAAGAAAGGCGCCGACAGGAGUGGAAUCGGCAUAAAGAUCACUAGAAUUGCCUGUUCUUCAUCCACUAUUGGGAGCAAAACAUCAAGCUAAAAACUGUUAGAGACUGCCCUGAGUGCAAUGGCUAUAAUCGGUAUGAUAGACCAAAUCGGCAGUAUCAAGACAACGAUCGGCGUUUUGGUGGGCCAAUUAGAGGAAGGGCGUCAGUUCAUAAUCGACUGGGGGGCAGACUCGGUGUGCACGAUAGGCUUGGUGAGCGUGUCGGUUAUUUUCCUAGGAACCAAGAAGAGCUUGAAGAGAUGGCGGAUGCGCGAGUUCCCAAUGAGUUCAUAUUUUGCAGAGACGCUAAUACUUAUCAGGUGGAAUCGAGGGAAAGUCGUCACCAGUCGGUAAGACAGCCACAACUUCCCCCAUGGUGUCCAGAGGGGUUGACAAGGACAUAGAAGAGGAGGUUGCAGCGGGAGCAACAAGAAGAACUGAGUAAAGAAGAAAAUUCUACUAAGUCUGGAGAUCGACAGCAGUCAGGUCCUAAGGGAACAGGUCCAUCGGUAGACAUUAAUGUGGUGUUUAUAUUGCCGAUGGAAUUCCUGGCACCUUUCAGUGAUGAUGAGGAGGCAGAUUUUUCUGAUCAAAUAGCUCAAUUGGCUCUAGAUCCGAUGACGGCUACUUUUGAAAAGCCUACCGAUAACGAGAGACAACAUCUUAAAGCUCUGUUCGUCAAAGGCAGGGUUGAUGGACAGCUGAUGACCAAGAUACUUGUUGAUGGUGGGGCUGCUAUCAAUAUCAUGCCAUAUGCAGUCUAUCGCAAGCUUGGCAAAGGAGAUCAAGAUUUGACCAGGACCGAUAUGAUGUUUAAGGAUUUUGAAGGAAAUGUGUCUCCAGUCAAGGGACCCAUAUGUGCUGAGUUGACCAUCGGCAGCAAAACCUUGCCGACAACUUUCUUCGUCAUGAGUGGAAAGGGCGCUUAUAAUUUGCUGUUGGGUAGAGAUUGGAUUCAUGCCAAUUGUUGCAUCCCAUCUACAAUGCACCAAUGCUUGGUUCAGUGGGUAGGUGACAAAAUUGAAAUUGUCCCAGGGGAUUCUUCAUAUGUUAUUGCAUCGGCAGAAGCAGAUACUUAUGAAAAUACCAUAUGCAUUUCAGGGGAAGUUUGGGAGAAGGAUUUCCUCAAGGUUGCUGAUUAUGAAAUUCCACCGAUCCAAGCAGUCGGUUCUGAUGAAGAGUUUUAAUGGAUAGGUUCGCCGAUGAUGGAAAGUUAGGAUAGGGGUUUACAUCGGCCGAUGAUUUAGCAGAAGUAGAUAUAGGUAAUGGUGAUAGGCCAAGACCUACUUUCAUUAGUGCUAAGUUAGAUUCUGAGUGUAAGCAGCAGUUAACUGAUUUGUUAAAAGAAUAUAAAGAUUGCUUUACUUGGGAUUAUACCGAGAUGCCUGGUUUAGACCGAUCUAUUGUUGAACAUCGGCUACCUAUCAAAUCUGGAUUUCGGCCGCAUCAGCAGCCAGCUCGCCGAUGCAAUCCUAAUAUUCUUCCUGAUAUUAAGGCCGAAAUAACUAAACUUAUUGAAGCUAAAUUUAUUCGGCAAUGUCAGUAUGCCGAGUGGAUUUCUAAUGUCGUUCCAGUUUACAAGAAGAAUGUGAAGCUUCAUGUCUGCAUUGAUUUUAGGAAUCUUAACAAGGCUACACCGAUGGAUGGUUAUCCAAUGCCGGUUGCCGAUUUGUUGGUUGAUGCUGCAGCUAGACAUCGAGUUAUUAGCUUUAUGGAUGGCAAUGCAGUAUACAAUCAGAUAUUUGUGGCUGAAGAAGAUAUUCCUAAGACUGUAUUUAUUUGUCCUGGUCAUGUUGGAUUAUUUGAAUGGAUAGUUUGACCUUUGGCUUGAAGAAUGCUGGUGCUACUUAUUAGAGGGCCAUGAAUUUUAUCUUUCAUGAGUUCAUCGACAAAUUGGUGGAAAUAUAUAUUGAUGAUGUGGUGGUUAAGUCUGGGGACUUCACAAAACAUCUUGCCGAUUUACGAAAGGUGUUGGAGUGCACAAGGAAACAUGGUUUAAAGAUGAAUCCUUAUAAAUGUGCAUUUGGUGUAUCGGCAAGACAGUUUCUUGGUUUUAUGGUGCACCAAAGAGGGAUUGAAAUUAGUAGAAGAUCUAUUGAUGCUAUUAACAAGAUAGUUGCUCCCACCAACAAAACUGAGCUUCAAUCAUUGAUCGGCAAGAUAAAAUUCAUCAGACGAUUUAUAUCUAAUUUGUCUGGUAAGAUUCGUGCUUUUAGUCAUUUACUUAAGUUAAAAGCCUAUCAAGUGUUUGUAUGGGGAAGAGAGCAACAGUCAGCAUUGGAUGAAAUUAAGAAUUAUUUAACAAAUCCUCCAGUUCUAGUUCCACCUCAGCAAGGAAAACCUUUCAGAUUGUAUUUGUCUACAUUUGGAAUGGUCAUCGGUUCGGCUCUAAUUCAAGAAUUUGAAGGGAAGGAACGUGUGAUUUAUUAUUUAAGUAGAAGACUGGUGGAUGCCGAGACAAGGUAUUCGGUGAUCAAAAAAUUAUGUUUAUGCUUAUACUUUUCAUGUAUCAAGUUGAGACACUAUUUGCUAUCGGCCGAAUGCACUGUUAUAUGCAAAGAUGAUGUAGUCCGGUACAUGCUAUCUAUGCCGAUUAUGAGUGGUAGAAUCAGCAAAUGGAUUUUAGCACUGUCGGAAUUUGAUUUGCGCUAUGAAUCGGCUAAGGCAGUCAAAGGGUAGAUUAUGGCUGAUUUUGUUACUCAGCAUUGUGGUGUAGUAGGAACGUUAGAGAUCGUUCCUUGGCCGCUCUUCUUUGAUGGAUCCACGUGUGACCGGGGGGCAGGAAUCGGUAUAGUAUUAAUUUCUCCUCAGGGAAAGAAGUACGAGUUCUCUUUGCCGAUUGUUGCCACGUCAACGAAUAAUCAAGCUGAAUACCAAGCUCUGAUCAAAGGGUUGGAAUUGUUAAAAUAGGUUCAUGCUGAUGCUAUUGAAAUCUUUGGCAAUUCUAUGCUUGUUAUAAAUCAAUUGGCUAGAACUUACGAAUGCCGGAGUGAUGUUUUGAUAACUUAAUAUGAAAAGAGCAUACAAUUAUUGGGGGAGUUCAAAGAUUUCCGAUUGGAGCAUGUUCCUCGAUUACAUAAUGAAGAGGCUAAUCGGUUGGCUCAGCAUGCCUCGGGAUAUCAACCUAUCUUAAAUAUAUCGGCAAUCAGUGCCGAUGAUUGGAGAAAGGAACUUAUUGAUUACUUAAAAGAACCAUCUAAAAAGGUUGAGAGGCGCGUCAGGUUUCAAGCUACCAAGUAUGUACUGCUUGGAGAAGAGUUAUAUUAUCAAAUGAUAGAUGGAGUUCUGCUCAAGUGCUUGGGUGAUGAUGAGGCUAAGAGCUUGAUGGGUGAAAUCCAUGAAGGAGUGUGCGGAGAACAUCAGUCGGCUUUUAAGAUGAAGUGGAUGAUUAGGAGAAACUGGUAUUAUUGGCCGACUAUACUUGAGGAUUGCUUUAAAUAUUUCAAAGGAUGUCAAGGAUGUCAGAGAUUUGGCAAUAUUGAAAGGGCACCCACAUCGGCCAUGAUUCCUAUUAUUAAGCCUUGGCCGUUCCGGGGAUGGGCUAUUGAUCUAAUCGGCCAGAUCUAUCCGCCAUCGAGCAAGAGGCAUAAGUUCAUCUUAGUUGCCACUGACUAUUUUACUAAGUGGGUUGAAGCUAUUCCGUUGAAGAAAGUAACAUCGGCUAGCAUGAUUGAUUUUGUGAAAGAGCAUAUUGUUUACCGAUUUGGUAUUCCUCAAACAAUCACUACCGAUCAGGGUACUAUGUUCACAUCAGUAGAGUUUGAUGAAUUUGCAAUCGGUAUGAGGAUUAAAGUGUUGAAUUCUUCUCCUUAUUAUGCUCAAGCCAAUGGACAAGCCGAAGCAUCUAAUAAAGGAAUUAUUAAGCUCAUCAAACGAAAGAUUGAAGAAAAUCCUAGAAGGUGGCAUACAUUGUUGAAUGAAGCUUUGUGGUCAUAUCGGAUGGCAUGUCAUGGAUCGACCAAAGUUUCACCUUAUCAGUUGGUAUACAAACACGAUGCAGUGCUACAAUGGGAAAUUAAGACUGGAUCUAGGCGGGUCUCUUUUCAAGAUCAAUUGGCUGCCGAUGACUAUGCUACUUUGAUGAAAAAUGAGUUAGACGAUUUGGCAGGGCAUCGGUUGAGAGCUUUGAUAAGUAUAGAAGAAAAUAAAAAGAGUGUUGUUAGGUGGUAUGAUAAAAAGGUAAAAGCUAAGGACUUUGCCAAUGGAGAUUUGGUAUGGAAAUUAAUUUUACUGAUUGGGACAAAAAGUUUAAAGUUUGGAAAAUGGUCUCCUAAUUGGGAGGGUCCUUAUCGGAUAAAUCAGUCUGCUCCUAGUAAAGCUUAUAUUUUGGAGACUGUCGAAGGAGUUGAAUUUCCUAGAGCAUUGAAUGGAAAAUAUCUAAAGGGGUAUUACCCAAGCAUUUGGGUCGAUGCAUAAAACUUUAAGUGCCGAUAAAACUCCUAUCGACUGGAUAAAAUGUAUCUGGGGCUGUGCAUAAUGUUUUAAAGGUGCCGAUAACAGUCCUAUCGGCUAGACUGGAAUGAUCAGAAGUGUCUAAGGGCGGGACGAAACAAGCCGCCGAUGAGGAGCUUACAGAUUCAGCAAGGCUUGAAUGGCCGAUAUGGCGCGUAGGCGAAUCUGGUUAGCUUCUAUCUCCCAGAUGUCUUCAUCAGCAGAGCCAUCUACUGGCUUUACCUUCUUCUUGAUCUGCAGUGCCUUGCAGGCAUAGAUGUUAUGUUCUUGUUGGAGAGUUUUGAUCAUCUCAGACACUUGUUGGAGCUCGGCUAGCAGAGUUUCCCUUCUUGCUGAUGGAUUAGAAAUCUUCUGUUUCAACGUCUCCUCUGAAGACUGCAGAAUGCCGAUGCUCUUACGUUUCUCAUCGGCAUGGCGCUUUACUUGCAUUACAUCCUCUAUGAGUUAGACGUGAGCAGCUCUAUCGGCAAGACGCUGGGUGGCUUUCUGGUACUGGAGCUGGCGGCUUUCCAAAUAUGCGGCUUGAAACAAGAUUUCUUCUGCAUCAACUAGGGUUUGGCCCCAAAGGGUUUUAAACAGAGCUUUGGCUGGAUCAGAAUCAUCAACCAACUGAGCAGUAUCUUGAUGUAGCAGGACCAAUAGGUCUUCCAUCUUGGCUUUGAUUUAUGCCGAUGAGACCCCUACUGCUUGGGAGGAGCUCGCUUCUUCACCUUCAUCAUCAGAAAUAUCGAUAGCAAAGGAGAAUAAGCUGUCUGGAGAGUCUUGUUCCUAAAAAAGGAGCAAAGAUAAGUUAUCUGGUAAUCAGAUGUUGAAAAUAAAGAAUGGAGACCAGAGACUUACUUGCUUCAGAGCGAUUUUGCGCCUCUGACGAGGGGAUGCGGCUGGUACUAUAGGUUGAUCAGCUGGAGUUGCCGAUUGGACAAUAUCAACUGAAAUAUUACAAGAGUGAUUAUGAUUUAUAAAAAUAAGAAUCAUCGGUAAUAACGUAAUCAUCAAUGCUUUACCUUGAGUAGGAGCAGUGCUUGUUUGUUCUGGGGUGACAACCGAUGAUACACUCAAAUCAGUUAGGUCGGCAAUCUGCUCAAAUACAUCAGCUGGCGCUUCUUGUGGCUGAGGUGCUGAUCGAGAAGGGGACGGUGCUUGUUGUGUCUGGAUUUCUGGUGAAGAGGGUGACGAUUCCACAUGAAUCAGCGAUACUGGACGAGGAGGAGAAGAUGGUGCUAUUUUCUGACGCUUUGGUUGUGAUUUGGUACUCUUGGGACCUUUCCUCUUGACUUGGCUAGGCUGGGGGGCAUCGACACUUGUUUGAGCACUUCUGGUUCUUGCCGAUUUGCCGGUCUGCUGAUACAACAACAAAAUUUCUUGAGUACAAAUAUAACAGAAUAUUGAUGAAAUCUUGUUGAACAGUAAAAGUUACCGAUAAAGUUCCCGUAGCAGCCGAUGUAUCCUAAAAAGAUUGUGUGAGUAUAGAAUGGAAUCGGUAUAAGCAGAGGAAAUCAAAAGUCUACCUUGAAAGCUUGUGCCAAGGUAGCAACAACAACUGUUGGGGACGUCUUUGACCGCCUGGUGGUUAUCUUCUUAAAACGCACAUUCCGAUGCAUUAGAGCUGCCAGGCUUGGUGCAUUGUUGCUGAUUAGAGAAAUUGGACCUGACGGGAGGAGUUCAAUCGGUUUUCCACUUCUGCUGACUGUUGGUGGCAAGUUGUCGACCUGUUUGAAAGAGAGAAGGUGAGUUACCGAUAAGGAUAAAAGUAACAAAAGAAUUGAGGUAUCGGUUGGAGACUUACAGUGUUUUUAGGGACCUUAUACUUGGGGUCGAUCAUGCCGCGGUAUGUCAGAGCCGAUGCACAGAACAGAUGUUCUUUCUACUCUUCCCACCACUGUUUGUAUGCCUGAGUGAUGAAGAGAGCCGGGAUCCAAGCCGAUAGAUCGAUAUCUGACGUAUCGGCAUUUGGUUGAAGCUGGGCUAUCCUUAUCCAUUCAAGACCGCUGGUUAUAGUUUCCCUUGGCUUCACCACAUCGGCAUAACAGAGUCCAAUCGGCAAUACCAGACGGUGUACAGGGCAUAUAGGCGUGCUCAUACAUGAGCCAAUACCAGACGGUGUACAGGGGAUAAGCUCAGGAGGCGCACGCGCCAUCAUCACCAAAGUACACCAUAACAAGAUGGCUCAAGACAAUACCGGUACAGAGGCAUCGAGUAAGUCAGUGCCAUACCCCUAUCAAAGCCUAUACUAAUGUCUAAAUCUAGUAAACUUACGCCUCCCCUUGGACUAUAAAAGGGGACGCUGAGGAUGAGCGAACGGACACACAAGAUAUACAACGCACGUAUAACACCAUUCAUACACUCCCACAUCCUGCUAGGACUUAGAACCCUUAGCUCAAUUCGCUUGUAUUCGCGCGUGUACAAGCACUGAGGUGCAGGUUAAUACAUACUCUCCCCACCCCCCGCUGGAUGUAGGACCUUCCUUCUCCCAAACCAAGAUAAAUACUAGUGUCAAUCUCACAUAACCAUGUGGAAAGGAGAACACGUACACAAAUCCACUCGUUGGUGUUACCCCCUGGGGUCAAAACACCAAUAGUUGGCACACCAAGUAGGGGUCCUGCAUGUUACUGAUGAUUUUCCAUCUUUUUUCUAGAUGGCCACCUCCGUCUCGCCGAUUGCACGCUCCACAGUGAUCUGGUUCGGCAGCCUCGAGUUCAUGUCCACCAGCUUCAACUAUGACAUGAUCCUGCUCUCAGUUAGAGGACUGGGAGGGGCACGCAUCAUGCCCGCAUGGUCAAAGGCCCUGCGACGGCCUCACCACCAUGCUUCCCCACCCAAGAGGAGGCGUGAUCAGCAUGAUCACCACCGCCCCACUGCUGCUGCAUGAUCGCCACCCCACGCAGGGCAGGUUAGCCCCCCAGUGGAGGGGCCGACAGCUCCACGCGCAAGGGCAGUGGUCCGGAUAGCUAACCAGUAGAGCAACCGCCCUACAGCGCUAAGGGACAGCAUCCCCGGUGCACCCUCGUCGCCAUAUGCCCUACUGCCACAUGGCCUGUUCGCCACCAGGGGGACGCUCCUAUUCGGCAUGGACAACGCGGCAACAUCCCUCGCUAGGACAAUAUGUCUUGGUACCAACACGCAUGUGGAAUGGCCAUUGGCCCUCAAAUGCAGCAUAGUGGCACGACAAGAGGCUCACUCAGUGGGUGAAAGCCCAUGCUUUCCACAGAUACGCACGCCUCGGCGCCUGGGACCCGGACACUACACCCUCACCAUGAUAAGACAACAACUAGCAGAGGAGUGGCGCAGAUGCUUCUACACUACCGAGCAAUACCCCAACUCCAAGUCCGACAGCUACGACCCUACGAGGCAAUGGUUCAACAUCGAUGGAGCCGUGGCUACCACAGACGACACAGAGGACGAAGCCAACGCCGCCGCCGCCACUGCUCCAGCUCCAGCAGUAGGAGCAAACCUUAGGACCCCUAGGAAUGAAGGACAGGCAGACCCACCCCCUUAGGACGACAAAGCUGCAUAGCUGUGCAACUGCGCGAGUUGAAGGCCAAACUCGACGAGGAUCGGGAAUGCCUCGAUUAACUAGAACGGGCUCUUGAGCAAGAUCAACCGCACCCGCAUGGUAGAGGCACGCUCGGUCACGCUCGAGACGUAUGACGACAGAUCUUCUAGGAUGGAGAACUAGAGCACCUCAUCAGUCGCUUGCCUCGAGCCAGUCAGAACAUCAUGGCGGCAACCAUGCUACUGCAUAAUAUGCCCGACCGCUCAAACUCCUAGGCACGACACAUACGAGACAAAGUGCAAGGCUUGGUCCAUGUGGCGGUAGCCUAGCAAGCUGAGAGCUCAGCCUCCCGAUGUCGAUGAGUAGCCACGGAGAAGCGCCCUGAGCCAGCUCAAAAUGAUAGAGAAGUAUCAGUCCACCAGAUGCCACCUCGUCGAGGCAAGAAGACGGUGCCAAUCCAAGAGUGCCUCAUCGACAAUCGAGGGCUCCACGACGCUCGUCACAACAUCAAUGAACAAAGACACCGCAAGCUUGUAGACAUGGAGGAACGAGGCUACAACACUCAUCGAGGUGGACGCUACGACAGUGAUGAGGACCAGAUGGCACUAGAGCCGCUGGGCCCUCGAGUCUUCAGCCGGGCGACCCGCAGCACGCCGCUGCCUAGCCCGUUCUGACCCCCGACCAGCAUCGCCAAGUACACCGAUGAAACCAAGCCAGAGUUGUGACUGGCAGAUUUCUAGCUGGCAUGCCAGCUGGGAGGUGCUCGAGGAGAUGAUUGAGCUAUUGUCCGGCAGCUACGACUUUCCUCUUGGACUCCGCUCGCAGGUGGCUCGUGGAACUUCCAGCCAAUCAAAUCUACGACUGGGCCGACCUGCUCUGGGUAUUCGAUGGGAAUUUUAAGGGAACCUACAUCCACCCCAGCAACUCAUGGGACCUCAGCAAGUGCAAGCAAAAGUCUAGGUAGUCCCUAUGAGAAUACGCUCGAUGCUUCUCCCAAUAGCGCAAGGAGCUCCCACACAUCCUCGACAAUGAUGUCAUCCUGGCAUUCGUAUCAGGCACUACCUGUAAGGAUUUGGUGUGAGAUUUGGGAUGAAAUCAUCUGUAGACCGUCGACAAGCUGAUGGACGUGGUGGCAAACUAUGCCGCCAGUGAGGAGGCAGUUGGCACUUUCUUUAGCCACGAGAGCGACAAGGGGAAGGCGCGAGCCGACGACAACGAGCGUCUCAGCAAGGGGCCCAAAAAGAAUAACAACAAGAAGAAGAAAGUGCGGUAGAACAAGCGCGAGGCCCUAGACGAUGACUUCAUCACUGCGGUCAAGCACAAGAAGCCUCGAGGCCCCCAGAGGUGGCAGUCUUCGACAAAAUGCUCAAGGAGCCCUGGCCUCACCACAAGGGAGGGGCCAACCAUAAGCUCGAGGACUGCCGCAUGCUGAAGAAAUACUUUGACAGCCUAGGGCUAAAGAAGGACGACCAAAAGAAGGACAAGGGUGAUGACAAGGGUGGAAGUAAGGACGACGAAGGGUUCCUUGCCGUCCACGACUGCUACAUGACCUACGGUGGGCCCUCGACGCAGCUGUUGAUGCAAAGCUAAUCUGCAAACACAAAGGGCUAAUACCCGAUGUAAAUGUUAAGGCGUGCAGCCGAUUUGACCUUACAAUCGACAAAGGUGGUAACUCGAUCACUUUGGUCCCGACAAAAGCGAUGCGCCCGGAUGUCACGGCCAAGAGGUGAUCACACGGAACUUGAUAAAACAUCGAGCCUAAGUCGACGAAUUCCUAAGAACUCGUAGUAAAAAGAAAAUAUGACGAAGUCGUCGAAAACGUAGAUACUGGAAUAUGAGUAAAAACUUGUGUUUGAUUGAUUGAUAGAUUGUUCAUUACAUUGCCCUAGGGUCUAUAUUUAUACCGUGUCUGAAGAGCUACAACCAGACACGACUAGGACUCGAAUUCCAAACUAAACAGAACCCGUACACAAAAUGAAUUCUAAUAACUAAGGAAAACAUAAAACUACCCCCUUGUAACCGACUGGGGCACCGCCACAGAUCAAUCGGCAAUCUUCACGCUCUCCUUCAGAGUCAUCGGCAAACCUCCUGUUGUGGCCAUCGGCAAACACUAACACUGAUCAUCGGCACGAACACGCCACCACCUCUGGACUUAGUCACAUUCAAUUGUCUCCUCAUCGGCAACCACCUUCAUCGGCAACUUUCCUGCAGACUAGUUACCGUUGCUUCAUCUGCCGAUCUAUACUUUACUAAUUCCCAGGUACGUGUCAAAAGAUAUGUGUCCAAAAACGAUGUCAACACAUGCCCCCCAAUUUCGGAGUAUCAAAUCAUUAAUGCCCCAAAAUUCUAUGUAGUAAUGAUGCCUUUCCGCAAUUAAUUCUCCCAAUUUGGUAACCGUUCGUCAAAUCCGAACAACCUUAGCACGAUUCUCUUGCAUAUUCCUUGAAUUCCUCAACCUCCCGAACCGAAUCUCUCCACUUUAUACGCCCAUCGGCAAUAUUACUCUUAGAGAGAAUUGCCGAUGGACCGACCACGAGAUCUUGUACAGUGAAAUAUCUCCAAAAUCAUGACCACUUGCUGUCAAAUCACCUGCGCAAUCCCUUGAUUACCGUGCGAACAGUUACCAUAUCCACCUGAAUACCCUCGGGUUUCACGGAUGCGGCAAAAGAUAAGUCAGAUUUGCCCCUGCCCGUUUUGUCCUAUAAAUACUUCCUUCUCUGGUACUCCUUCUCCAUCUUGUCAUUCUACAGCCCAAAAUCCACUUUCAUGGCAGCGGCACCAUCCGAGGUUUCCAAGAACUUCAACGAAGGCUCUCUUCACCAACCCCUAAGUCUUCGAUCUUCUUCCAUGCGAGGAGAUGGCCAUCAACUUCGUUGUUCCUGAGGUCAGCUUGCCACCCUUCCUCCUGCAUUUUUAUUGUACUCCUGUUCAUCCACAAUUCGUCUUACUGAAUAGUCCUUUUUACUUUUUGUUCUUCUUUUUAUCCCCAAAAACUUCUAGGAUUUGGCCGAUAAGAUCGUUAUUCCUACCGAUCAACCUCAUCUCCAGUGUCUUGGUCCACUAGGAAACCCAGCUCCCACCGAUAUAAUAAAUGCGGAAACAAACAAAAUCCCUUUUAGAGCUGAAAACUUCUCUCUAGAUCUAUGGAAAGAUGGCUUUCGUUCCUGGCCCAGUCCUACCAAGGGUUGGAAGGAUUGGUUUCUGAGAGUUAGCCAUUCAAACGAGGUUCAAUGGGGCGAGCGGAAACUGGACCAGUGUAUUAGAUUGUCUCUUGCCGAUAGGGAGAGGAAUGAGUCAAUGCUAAUUGCUGCUUCAUACUUCUGGUCAGACACGCUUAAUGCUUUUGUGUUUGGCCAUGGGCCUGCUUCUCCUACACUUGCCGAUGUAUUUAUGCUCACCAGCUUAGAUAUAUCCACUUUCGAUAACAGCCACCUGUUUGACACCAAACCCAGUGCUAAGGUAGAAACUCGUGCUAUCGGCGGUUGGUCCGGGUACAUUCAGAAGUACCGAAGAACAGGACCUGUCAAUGCAAAGGAACAGACCACUUUCCUUAAUAUGUGGCUGGAUAAGUUUGUAUUCUGUGGUCGAUCAGCAGGACCAACUUCUGUUUACUUAUCGGCAGCAGAAAGAUUAGCCGAUGGCUGCCGAUUUCCUCUUGGCCGAUACCUGCUCGGCUCUAUUUAUCACCUCCUCCACCAGGUAGCCAGGAAACUUCUGCUCGGCCAACCCAUCGGCAACAUAGGGGGUCCUUGGUGGUUUAUCAACAUGUGGCUUAAUCUCCACAUACACAAGCGCCUUGAAUUCAACCUCUUUGCACAGCGCUUCCCCAGGGACAUAGCCGAGGAUUAUGAAUUGGAUGAAGAAGAAUCGGCAACUCGCUCCCCCUUGAACUUUAGCGAAGCUACCAUAGUCUUACCCAGCACUGGUGGUAAUGAAGACCAGGUUAGCCGAUUCUUUCAAACUCUGUAUGAAGGUCUGACCAGAGAACAGCGGGCAUGGAUGCCUUAUGAAGAUCCAGACACUAGAUUCCCCCUGACUUUCCAUCCCUUCAAUGAUGCUCUCAAAAAGGACCGUGACGUGAUGAUGGCAAUUAUCACCCCAAGAGCCAUACCAGUGAACUUCUUUGGCAGUGGGAAAGCUUCCAAUCUGACCUAUGAAUUUUACAACCCAUCGGCACUAGCUUGCCAACUUGCUUUCGGCCAACUGCCGAUUGCACUUUGCUACGCAGAUGUGAUAAAGCCGAGGGAAACCAUCACCAGCAAUCUUGAAUGGAUGAGGAUAGCUCAACUUCCACCGAACGCCGAUACAGAUGUCGAUCUAUCGGUUUGGAUCCCAGCUCUCUUCAUUACUCAGGCAUACAAACAGUGGUGGGAAGAGUGGAAAGAGUAUAUGUUCUGCAGAUCGGCACUCACAUAUCGUGGCAUGAUUGAUCCCAAAUACAAGGUCCCCAAUAAUACUGUAAGUAUUUUAACCGAUGUUUCAAUCCCUUCAUUCCCAGUUUCUAUCGGUAACUUACUCUCUUUGUUUUAUUCAGGUCGAUGAUACGCCAUCAUCUGUCAGCAGAAGUGGCAGGCCGAUCGAACUCCUUCCAUCGGGCCCGAUCUCUUUGAUCGGCAACAACGCUCCAACUUUGGCCACUUUAAUGCACCGGGGUGUGCGUCUCAAGAAAAUCACCACCAAGUGGACAAAAACAUCCCCGUCUGUAGCUACCACUGCUUUGGCACAAGCCUUCAAGGUAAAUUCUCGAAUUCUUCAACUUAUACUGAUUCCAUUCUUAUACUUACACAAUUUUUCAGGACACAUGGCCUAGCAUGGGAACUUCAUCGGUAACUUUAUUAUUUUAAUUAGAACCUUAUCAAUACCCUGUUACACUUGUACUCAUAAAACUUUCAUUGUUGUAUCAGCACACUGGCAAAUCGGCAAAGACAGGAAGUACGACUGCUGAUGCACCCCAGUGCUGCCAACCAAAGAGAAAAGGUUCCAAGAGUACCAGAUCACAAGCGAAGCGCCAGAGAACAGCAACGCCUCCCCCUCCUCCAAUGUCACCGAUCUCGGUGGAAUCAUCCCCCUCUUCUCUAGAAGCUCAGACACAACAAGCAUCGUCUCCUCCUCAGCCACAAGAAGAAUCGCAGCCAGAAGAACUUCAGCCAGAAGAAACAUCGGCUGAUGUACACGAGCAGACCGCCGAUCCAGUAAGCUUAAUCACAGCAUCAGUGGUUUCCUCGAUUCAGACAAGUACUGCACCCCCCCAAGGUAAAGUACUGUCUAUGAAAUUAUUGCCGAUGGACCUAUUUCUUCACUUUAUAAUUAUCUGUCAAUCUUUCAGCUGACAUAGUCCCAUCGGCAGCUCCAGCCGAUCAACAGGUAGUUCCACUGGCUUCAACUAGUCAGAGGCGAGAGAUAGCUCUAAAACAAGUAAGUUAUCUGAUUAUCAUUCUUUACUUUACUAAUAUUUCAUCAUCAAAUAACUCAUCUCUUUUUUCUUUCAGGAACAAGAUUCUCCCGACAGCCUGUUCUCCUUUGCUAUCGAAAUUUCUGAAGAUGAAGGAGAGGAAGCAAGCUGUUCCCAAGCAGUUGGAAUUUCAUGGGCAGAGCUUAGAGCAAAGCUGGAAGAUCUGUCAGCCAUCCUCCAUCAAGACACAGCCCAACUGGUUGAUGAUUCUGAUUCAGCCAAAGCUCUAUUCAAAACUCUCAAAGGUCAGAUCCCUGCCGAUGCCGAGGAGAUCCUCUUCAAGGCUGCACACUUAGAGAGUCGACAGCUUCAGUAUCAAAAGGCCACUCAGUGCCUUGCCGAUAGGGCCACUUAUGCGCAGCUUUCAGAGAAAGUGAUGAAGGUAAAGCAUCUUGCCAAUGAGAAGCAUAAGUGCAUCAGCAUUCUGAACUCCUCAGGAGACGUGCUGAAGCAAAAGAUUUCUGACCUAUCGGCGAAAAGAGAAGCCGUGUUGGCAGAACUUAAACAAGUGGAAGAAGCUCUGUCCCAAGCUCAACAGGAACAAAGCCAGCUGCCUAAAGUGAUCAAGACUCUUGAACAAGAGCGAAACGUCCAAGCCCGCAAGGCACUUCAGAUGAAGAAGAAACUGAAGCCAGUGGAGGGCUCAGCCGAUGAAGACAUGAAGGAGAUAGAAGAAGCCGAUCAGAUUCGUCUGCGCGCCAUAUCGACGAUCCAGGCUCUGUUAAACAUAUGAACUCUUCAUCGGCGGCGUGUUUUGCUCUUUCCAUUCAAACACUCCUGAUUAUUUUGGUCUAGCCGAUAGGACUGUUAUCGGCAUCCUUUUAAAACAUUUAAUCCAGCCCCAGAUACACUUUAAUCUAGCCGAUAGGAAUGUUAUAGGCACUUAAACUUCUCAUGCAUCAAUCCAUAUGCUAGGAUAAUAUUUCUUUAAGUAUUUGCCACUCAAUGCCCUGGGAAAUUCAACUCCUUCGAGAGUUUCUAAAAUAUAGGCAUUACCAGGAGUAGAUCGAUUUAUCCGAUAGGGACCCUCCCAAUUGGGAGACCACUUCCCAAAUUUUGAACUUUUAGUCCUGAUCGUUAAGAUUAGCUUCCAUACUAAGUCUCCAUCGGCAAACUCCUUAGCCUUUACCUUCUUAUCAUACCAUCUGGCAACUCUCCUUUUAUUUUCUUCUAUACUCAUCAAAGCCCUCAGCCGAUGCCCUGCUAAAUCAUCCAACUCGUCUUUCAUCAAAGUAGCAUAGUCAUCGGCAGUCAGCUGAUCUUGAAAAGAUAGUCGCCUAGAUCUGGUUUUACCCGUGGCAACACAGCAUCGUGUCCAUACACCAACUGAUAAGGCGAAACUUUGGUCGAUCCAUGACAAGCCAUCCGAUACGACCAUAAAGCUUCAUUCAACAACGUAUGCCAUCUCCUAGGAUUUUCUUCAAUCUUCCAUUUGAUGAGUUUAAUAAUUCCUUUGUUAGAUGCUUCGACCUGUCCAUUGGCUUGAGCAUAAUAAGGAGAAGAAUUCAACACUUUAAUUCUCAUACCGAUUGCAAAUUCAUCAAACUCGCCUGAUGUAAACAUGGUACCCUGAUCGGUAGUAAUUGUUUGAGGAAUACCAAAUCGGUAAAUAAUAUGCUCUUUCACAAAAUCAAUCAUGUUGGCCGACGUAACUUUCUUCAAAGGAAUAGCUUCAACCCACUUGGUGAAAUAAUCAGUAGCAACCAAGAUGAAUUUAUGUCCUUUGCUUGAUGGUGGGUAAAUCCGGCCGAUUAGAUCAAUAGCCCAUCACUGGAACGGCCUAGGUUUAAUAAUUGGAUUCAUGGCCGAUGCGGGUGCCCUCUGAACAUUACCAAAUUUCUUACAUCCUUGACAUCCCUUUCAAUAUUUAAACCAAUCUUCAAGUAUGGUUGGCCAAUAAUACCCGUUCCUCCUAAUCAUCCACUUCAUCUUAAAGGCUGACUGAUGCGCUCCACACACUCCUUCAUGGAUUUCCCAUCAAACUUUUAGUUUCGUCACCACUUAAGCACUUGAGAAGAACUCCAUCGAUUGUUCAUAAUAUAAUUCAUCCUCGAGGAGCACAUACUUGGUAGCUCGAAACCGAACACACCUCUCAACCUUCUUAGAUGGAUCCUUCAAAUAAUCAAUGAUUUCUAUUCUCCAAUCAUCGGCAUUCAUUGCCGAUAACGUAUUCAAUAUGGGCUAAUAUCCCGAGGCAUGCUGGGCCAACCGAUUAGCCUCUGCAUUAUGUAACCGAGGAACAUGCUCUAAUCGGAAAUCUUUGAAUUCCCUUAACAGUUGCAUACUCUUUUCAUAAUAAGUUAUUAAAACUUCACUUUGGCAUUCAUAGCUUCCAGCUAAUUGAUUUAUAACCAGCAUAGAAUCCCCGAAGAUUUCAACACCAUCAGCAUGAACUUCUUUUAACAACUCCAACCCCUUGAUUAAAGCUUGAUACUCAGAUUGAUUAUUUGUUGAUGUGGCAACAAUCGGCAAAGAGAACUCAUAAUUCCUUCCCUGAGGGGAAAUUAACACUAUGCCAAUCCCUGCCCCCCGGUCACACGUGGAUCCAUCAAAGAAGAGCGUCCAAGGUACAAUUUCCAAAGUUUCCACUGUACCCCGAUGUUGAGUCACAAAAUCGGCCAUGACCUAUCCUUUAACCGCCUUAGUCGAUUCAUACCGCAGAUCGAAUUCCAACAGCGCCAAAAUCCACUUACCGAUUUUGCCACUCAUAAUCGGCAUAGACAACAUAUAUCAGACCACAUCAUCUUUGCAUAUAACAGUACAUUCGGCCGAUAAUAAAUAGUGCCUCAACUUAAUACAUGAGAAAUAUAGGCAUAAACAUAAUUUUUCAAAGGCCGAAUACCUGGUCUCAGCAUCAAUCAAUCUUCUACUUAAAUAGUAAAUCACAUGCUCCUUCCCUUCAAAUUAUUGAAUCAAAGCCGAACCGAUGACCAUCCCAUCGGUAGACAAAUAUAAUUUGAACGGCUUUCCUUCCUGAGGUGGAAUUAAAACUGGAGGAUUUGUCAGGUAAUUCUUGAUUUCAUCUAGAGCCAACUGUUGCUCUUUUCCCCCAUAUAAACUCUUGAUCGGCCUUUAAUUUAAGUAAAGGGCUAAAAGCACGAAUUUUACUAGACAAAUUAGAAAUAAACCGCCUGAUAAAAUUUAUUUUGCCGAUCAAAGAUUGGAGCUCAGUUUUGUUGGUAGGAGCAACUAUCUUGUUAAUAGCAUCGAUGGAUCUUCUGCUAAAUUCAAUUCCCCUUUGAUGCACCAUGAAACCAAGAAAUUGCCCUGCCGAUACGCCGAAUGCACACUUGUUAGGGUUCAUCUUUAAACCAUGUUUCCUUGUACAUUCCAACACUUUUCGCAGAUCGGCAAGAUGCUCUGUGAAAUCUCCAGACUUAACCACCAUAUCAUCAAUAUAAAUCUCCACCAACUUGCCGAUGAACUCGUGAAAGAUAAAAUUCAUAGCCCUCUGAUAGGUAGCACCAGCAUUUUUGAAACCAAAUGUCAUGACUAUCCAUUCAAACAACCCAACAUGACCAGGACAUCUAAAUGCAGUCUUUGGAAUAUCUUCCUCAGCCAUGAAUAUUUGAUUAUAUCCUGCAUUGCCAUCCAUGAAGCUAAUAAUCCGAUGCCCAGCCGCAGCAUCAACUAGUAAAUCAGCAACCGGCAUCGGGUAACCAUCCAUCGCGGUAGCUUUGUUAAGAUUCCUGAAAUCAAUGCAAACUCGAAGCUUCCCAUUUUUCUUGUAAACUGGGACAACAUUGGAAAUCCAUUCGGCAUACCGACAUUGCCGAAUAAACUUAGCUUCAAUAAGUUUAGUUAUUUCGGCUUUAAUAUCAGAAAGAAUAUUAGGAUUACAUCAGCGAGCUGGCUGUUGAUGUGGCUGAAAUCCAGACUUGAUGGGAAACCGAUGCUCAACAAUAGAUCGGUCCAAAGUAGGCAUCUCGGUAUAAUCCCAAGCAAACCAAUCUUUAUAUUCCUUUAUAGGCUUAUCACCAUUACCUAUAUCUACCUAUACUAAAUCAUCAGCCGAUGUAAACCCCUGGCCUAAUUUUCUAUCAUCGGUGAACCUAUCCAUUAAAACUCGUCAUCAGAACCGACUGCUUGGAUCGGUGGAAUUUCAUAAUUGGAAACUUUGAGAAAAUCCUUCUCCCAAAUCUCCCCUGAAAUACACCUAGUUCUUUCAUAGGCGUCUGCCUCUGCCGAUGCGAUGACAUAAGAAGAAUCUCCCAGGACAAUCUCAAUCUUGUCACCUACCCACUGGACUAAGCAUUGGUUCAUUGUUCAUGGGAUGCAACAAUUGGCAUGUAUCCAGUCUCUGCCCAAUAGCAGAUUGUAGGCACCUUUUCCACUGAUCACGAAAAACGUUGUCGGCAAGGUUUUGCUGCCGAUGGUCAACUCGACACAUAUUGCCCCUUUAACCGGAGACACAUUUCCUUCAAAGUCCUUUAGCAUCAUAUCGGUCUUGGUCAAAUCUUGAUCUCCUUUUCCAAGUUUCCGAUAGACUGCAUACGGCAUGAUGUUAAUAGUAGCCCCACCAUCAAUUAAUAUCUUGGUUAUCGGCUGUCCAUCAACUCUCCCUUUGACAAACAGAGCUUUAAGAUGCUGCCUUACAUUGUCGGCAGGCUUUUCAAAGAUAGCCGUCAUCGGAUCCAGAGCCAACUGAGCUAUUUGGUCAGAAAAAUCCAGCUCCUCAUCAUCACUGGAUGGCGCAAGGAACUCCAUCGACAACAUAAAUACCAUGUUAACAUCUGCCGAUGGUCUUUUUCCCUUAGGAUCCAGUUGCUGUUGAUCUCCAGACUGGCCAGAAUUCUCGCCCUUGCUUAGCUCUUCUCGUCUUUCGUACUGCAGCCUCCUUUUCUGUGUCCUAGUCAACCCCUCUGGCCACCAUGGAGGAAGUUGUGGCUGCCUUGCCAAUGGGCAACAAUUUUCCCUUGAAUCCACUCGAUAGGUAUUGGCAUCCCUGUAAAAUAUGAGCUCAUCGGGAACUCGUGCAUUGGCCAUCUCUUCAAGUUCUUCCUCGUUCCUAGGAAAAUAUUCGACAUGGUCACCAAGUCUGUCAUGCACACUGAGUCUGCCCCCAGCCGAUCAUGAACUGACGCUCUCCCCCUAAUCGACCCAUUAAAUCGCCGAUCAUCGUCUUGAUAGCGCCGAUCGGGUCUGUCAUAUCGAUCAUAACCAUUGCAUUGAGGGCAAUCUCUAACAGUGGGUAAUUUAAUGUUCUGUUCCCAGCAAUAGAUAAAGAACGAACAGUUCCAAUGAUCCUUGUGCCGAUUCCACUCCUGUCGGCGUCUUUCUUCUUCCCGACGAUAAUCUUCCUGCUGGCGCCGAUACCGAUCCUCGUGUUGCUGCCAAGUUUCCCGAUGCCUUCUAUGAGUUAUCACAAUGCCAUAUCGAGGAGGCCUUCCUGAGCUAUUUCCUUCCUAGAUCAAACCAUUUCCUUUAGCAUCGGCAGCAGUGAUCUGAUGCUGAGGAUCCACCGAUGCACUUCUUUCAGCUCCUUCUGACGUCAAGACUUUAGUCUUUCCCUUAGCAUCCAACAUAUUUGUUGGGAAAGGAUGUUGAUCGAUCUUCAUCGGCUUCUUAGCUUUAGAACUAUCAAACUUGAUUCUCCCAGAUUCUAUAGCCGACUGCAGCUGUUGCCUAAAAACCUUGCAUUCAUUGGUGCUGUGAGAGGUUGCAUUGUGCCACUUGCAGUAUUUCAUCUUCUUUAAUUCUUCAGCCGUUGGAAUCACAUGAUUAGGCGACAAUUUGAUUUGCCCUUCCUGAAGUAGAAAAUCAAAUAUCCUAUCGGCAUUGGUAAUGUCAAAUGCGAACUUUUCUGGCUCCUUAUGCCCAAAAGGACAAGACACAGGCUUCUUAUUUUUCACCCAUUCUGCUAAACCGAUGACCGGCUCUUCGUCAGAGUCUGAGCUUGCUGCCUCAUCAACAAACGACACCUUUUUAUUCCACGCUCUCUUAGGCUCAAAAGGCUUAAUAUCUAGAUCAGAAAUCCUCUGCACCAAGUGGUUCAAACUUUCAAACUCUUGAGAAGCAUACUUGUCCCUGAUAUGCGGCAACAGUCCCUAGAAAGCCAAAUCGGCUAGCUGCCGAUCGUCUAGAACCAGACUAUAGCAUUUGUUCUUAAGUUCUCGCAAUCUCUGCACAAAGCUUUCAAUCGAUUCAUCAUUGCGUUGUUUCAAUCUGACCAAAUCGGUGAUCUUCUUCUCAUGAACUCCAGAAAAGAAGUAUUUGUGGAAUUGCUUCGGUUGGGUAUUCUUAACAUCAUUAACGGUGCCAAAAAUGCCAAACCUAUCCCUCACACCACUUAAGCCAAGUUGUCAUCCCCAGCAUGACAUGAGAGACGCGGUAUUGAAAUAUGCAAUUGCUCUUCUAAAUAAAUAAUGAAUUGGAUCUGCAAGCGCACAGAUUAAUACCGAUGCAGCAUUUUAACCGGGAAGUAUUCCAGGUAUCGUUAUUUAUAUUUUUACCACUGGGAAGGGAUUAGAAAUCAUCACUAAUGAUUACAGAAUAGAAUAUGAGAUUGAGCAUCUAUCAUUGCAUGUAUAAUUGAGAACAUUAUAUCUAACUCUUCAUACAGGGAUAAGUGUCACAUAAAAGAUAUAUGAAAUAAUAAUAGUGACAAGGAUAACUAAUCUGAUCUAGCCACAUAAUAAAUAUGAUAAGCACCUCAAUUAGAUACUCUAGAAAGUCAUUAGCAUGAUAUUAGAACGAACUACAAGAAUAUUCCCUAAGUUAUUCUUAACUAUAUAUUCUAGCAUUAUCAUAGUUAGUGCAAGCAUACUUAGCAAUCAUUGUGAGACAAGACUACACCCAUGCAUAGUGAUAUUAGCAAGGAAUAUGAGAAACAUAGCAAUCACUCCCCUGUAAUAAUGUUGCUCUGCCAGCCCAAUACACGAGAGGGGGACUAUAUAAGAAUCAAUGAAGCUGUCACUAUCACGAACCACCCCACGAUCUGGCAUAUUGGGUACAAUCGCAGAUAAAUACGGUAAAAGCACCACACCUACACAAUAUCUAUCAUUUACCCAUGGAUCCGAUGGAUAAACGCUAUACGAUCCUAAGCAUGUAUAUAGAUCCAAUCUAACUAAGCCAAGUACAUAACUAUGAUAAACUAAGAACAAUAUAAUCUUGAAUAUAAGCAAGUAGAGCAAAGUCAUAAGCAAUAUAUUGAAGUAGAACAAAGUCAUAUUCAUAAUAUUGAAGAACAAAGAUAAUUAGAAAGCAAUUAGAAGCACAAUUAGAGAAUUACCAAGAAUCCUCCAGACAGAUCCGGAAACCAAUCGAAGAUUGACUCCUUCUAGUUCUAAUCCUAUGUAGCUAUGCUAAUCUAGAUAUCUAAUUGAUGUGGUGGCUCUAAUCUUGAUCAGAGGCUUCUUCUCCCUUGAUGGAACAAUGAAUUAGGGUUGAGAGGCUCUCUCCUCCAGGGGCCAGGGGGUCUGGUUUUAUAGUCCCUUCAAGUGAAUAUGGGCCCUUGGAUCAAACCGACAUAGAUUGUAUGGUUUAGAUUCAUCCUUUGGGUCGGUGGAGAUCUCCCGCGAAGCAGAGUCCUGAUUGGACUCCUGGAGAGGGCGGGUGCCCAGGGGAACAGGGCGGGCGCCCUGCCUCUGGCCCCGUUUCGCCUCCGCUUCGGUCUCGUGGCUUCUGGAGUCUUCUAGAUGUAAGAUAAUUGCGCGGCACGUUAAUAUCUCUAUGUAAUCCCGACGUGUGGGCCUUUCUUCCUUAUUUUCUGAUAACCCCCUGCAGAAAUAGACAAACACCAAAACUCGUGGAAUUCUGUCAGAUAAAACCCUAAGUCUAGAUGUUGAUUUCAUUUGGAUCCUUUUCUUUAUUUAUUUGAUAAUUAAAUUUGAUACUUAAGGACCGUCAACAAACUCCCCCAAGCUUACCUCUUGCUCGUCCCUGAGCAAGGAUAGACUCAGCUAUGGAUCAUAAGUUGUUGCAAUAUAUAUUUUUUUAAAAAAAUUUUACGGUACACAUGCUUUUUAAAUAAGAUCUCAUCUCUGAGUUAGAGUAAACUGUCAAGACUUAAAACUUACUUACUUUACCUACACCAUGGGACUUGUAACUGUCACUUCUGUCUUGAGUGGUUAAAAGAUAGAACAGUCUAGCCAAGUGUCAUGUCUCUUAUUCUUGAUCAGCUAUAACUCUGGGGUUUUUUGCAGAUUUUCAAAUAAAACUCAGAGAUUCCUUGUAUGAUUCUCUCAGGUCUCUCUUUUGUGGUAUUUUUGGAUCCUUACCAAGGCAGUGAUGGUAUAUGCCUUCUCUCAAGAUAUGUGGUAUUUGUAGUAUGAAGCAUAGUGACAUUGCCUUCUCUCUCACCCUACUCUAAUAAGGCUUUAAUAUCUGGAGCUCAUAGGUGGGAGAUAAAGUAUACAUACUUACAAGACAUUUAUUGCAUAGUCAAACCAUGGAUCCAAAGUAACAAGUCAAUAAGUUUAAUCAAGAUGUGCAUGUGUGGCGAAUGAAUGGUGUAUGGUGAUGAUGGUGAUAACAAUAGUGGAAAUAAUGGUGGUGGAAGUCUAAUUCUACUUUGCUCUUUGAGGGGAUACAUACCUUCCUUGCUUUUUGAAACAUUAUGAGGAGAAUGAGAUGCUCUUCUUUUUUUUUCUUUUCUCUCAGGUGGGUAUUUUGCACCCCUAAUUCUUCUGUCGGACACUUGUCCAUUUUUACCUCUCGUCUCACUCUUUCUUUUCUUUCGAGGUUCCGAGCACUUGCUCCUUUUUAUUUCCUCGUAUUAUAUAUUUUUUUUUCUUUUUCUUCUUCUUCUUUUUUUUCAGAGAAUUUAUCUCUUGAGAUAAUAUAGCAAGUGGUAGUCACAAGAUAACUGGAGCAUUUAUUUCACAAGGGAAAAAUAGAAAUAUUUUUGGUUAUUCUCUCCCGGGUUAGGAGUAGAAUAUUUUUGGGUGAUUCUGGAGAUGGAAUGGGUGGAUAUAUGUGGAUGGUACUUCCGGAGUAGAAGUAGCAUAUAUGAGUGGACGUGCAAGUGAAAUCUUGAUUUAACCACAUGACAAGCUCCUAAGGGUCUACACAGCUUGACCACACUCAAUGCUCAUAAGCAGUAAAUAGUAAAUGUGUGGCUCAAAGUCUAACAAGCAUGUAUACAUGGCUGUGGUAGGAAUUUAAACUCUCAUCAUACAGGAACUCAUCUUGCAACAUUUUAAAGAUUUUUAAAGAUAAAAUUCUCCAAAAUUCUAGCAUCUCUAGGAAUAGAUAAACAGCAGCUCAACCUUCCCAUAUCGUAUCCGUUAACAACUUAGACUUCAGAUCAAGUUUUCAUCCCACAAGUUUAGGUCUAGGGCAAGCUUUAAAUUAUAACAGUUAUAUCUAAACUUGAGAGAGAACUUAAAAUUUGCAAAAUAGGCAGAGCAACUAUUCAUCAUAUCCAUGCUUAAGUUUUAUUUAGAUACAGAUUAGCAUAGCCACUUUAUUUAUUUAUUAAACACACUAAGCAAAAGACAUAUAUAUAUAUAAGCAUAAAAUCUUUAUUUGAUUUUUCCAUAGUUAUGUAUAUUUAUAUUUUAAAAUAAUAUAAGUAUAAAGAUAGAUAGAAAUACUUAUCGAGAUAUAUGGGGGUGCUCUCCCCCAAGCUGAAUUUUGAUGUAAUUUCUCUUGAUGUAGCUAACAGGUGGCAGAGGUGUAUUUGAAAGUCAGCAGCAUUCUGACAGCGAUUAGAAUGUCCUCCGUCUGCUAGUCUUCUUAAAUUCUGUGGAGCUCAACUAGACAACAUAGCUUGUGGAACUGAUUAAGUGUUAGCAUAAAUAUCUAGCCUUUAUCAUGUUGAGACUCCUUAAUAAUUAUUACUCCCUGUUUUUAUAUUUUCAUUUUAUAAAGCGGACUCCCCAUUUUCUUUAAUCGUCCUGAGGUUCGUUGGGUGGCGUAGUCGGUACUUCCGGUAGCGCCUCCUCUUCAUGUAUAGUUAUCUUCAUUUUCCACAACUGACUUGGUGCUUCAGUCUCCUCUGGAUAAUUCUGUUUAAACUCUACGUCUUCUGACCUUAUAACUUCUCCUUCGUAGUCUGCCCAUCCGUCCUUGAUGAUCUGCCUCCUCUGGUUGCGGUUGCGUCUUUUUCUGACCUGCUUAGAUUCUUCAACGAUAUAGUUAGGGUUAGUAAAAUAACGGCGUACCUUCUCUGAGGGGAAGUGCAUAUGGACUUCUCCGGUUCCAAUGUAGAUAAUUGCUUUAACGGUGCUGAGGAACGGUCUUCCAAGGAUGAUGGGUGGAUCAUACUCAUCUUCUCCCAUGUCAAUAACUUGAAAGUCUGUGUAGACAAAGUGAUCGUCUAUUUUGACUGGGACAUCAGAUACUAUUCCUUUGACUUCUCGGAAUGUCUGAUCUGCCAUCUGGAGCUGAAUGUAUGUUGGUCUUAGUGGCAUGGUUCCGAACAAGAGCCGAUAGGUGACUGCAGCCAUUAUGUUGACGCCCGAUCCGGUGUCGCAAAUCGUUUUGUAGAAGUUGUAUCCAUUUAUGGAGCAGUAGAUGCUUGGCAUUCCUGGGUAGUCCUUCUUGGUCAAAAACGGUGACUUAAGUUGAUGAUCUUGGCCUCCAUGAACUACAGUGACCAUCUUAGCUGACUCGGUCCACACUUGCUUGUUCAUGUUUCUCCUGUUGGUCUUCUUCCUUGAUUCACGUCUGGUUUGAUCUGGAAUUUGUGUAGUCUUGUUCUUGAAGAAAAAUGUCUCCUUCUUCCCUUUGACGUAGAAACUUAUCUUGGCAGCACUGGCGUAGAUGAUAGCUCCCGUGGUGUUCAAGAAUGGCCUCCCUAAGAUGAUAGGUGCUCUCUCGUCAUUUCCGGUCUCUACCACUACGAAGUCUGCUGGGGCAUACAAGGUACCAUCUCGGACACAAAGGUUCCUCACUAUUCCUUUUGGAAAAGUUAUCGUCUGAUCUGCAAACUGCAAACACAUGGUUGUUUCUAGUAAAGGAUAUGUAAAGAAUUUUUCAUAGAGUACCCUGGGUAUAAUGUUGACACUAGAGCCAAAGUCGCAGAGUGCUUCUGGAACGUCCACCAUGCCGAUGGAGAUCGGGAUGACGGGGCGUCCUGGAUCACCUCUCUUGACCGGCAGAAGGUCAGUAGAUAAUUCAUUGACGGGGUUACUCCAAUUACCUGCAUCAAAUAUGUCUACAAGAUUUGCAGAUUCUAAUCCUUCCAGUUGUGAUGGUAUACCGGGGUUAGUAGUAGGAACAGCAGCAGCUAUUUGAUUUAACUGAGAUUCUAUCAUUUUAUUAAAGCUAAUUUGAUUCUUGAUGGCAGUAGAGAAAUUAUCCAUUCUGUUAUUUAUAUUAUCUAGCAUUUUAUCAUUAGAUGCCAAUUUCUUAGAUAGGUUAUCCAUUAGCUUUCCUUGAUUAGACACUAACUCUCUCAAAGGUGGAAAAUUAUUAGCAUUAUUGUUGUAAGAAUUGUUACCUUGAUAAUUACCUGAGUAGUUAGGCCUCUGUUGAUUCCAACCUUGAUUUUGUUGAGGACGGUUGUAGUAGUAGUAGUAGUAGUUGUUGAUGUAGUUCACAUCCUCAAGCAUCUCAGGGCAGUGGUUGCCUGAGUGUCCAGUGUCUCCACACUCCUCACAAGUCAUGUGAGAGUCGUAGAUGUGCAUAACUUCUUUCCUGUCUCCAGCUCUAUCAUCGAGCUUCUUCAUGAGCAGGUCUAGCUUUGCAGACAGCAUAUCUACCUCCUUCAGCUGAUGUAUACCUCCACCUCUCUUGCGUGUCUGGGUCCUCUCUUCAUUCCAGCUUUGGUUGGAUGCCAUCUUCUCCACAAGAGCUGUGGCUUGUGGUAUAGUAAGUGAUAAGAAUGCUCCUCCAGCUGCAGCAUCCAUGGUCUCUCGGGCACUGUUGCCGAGCCCAUGAUAAAACGUCUGCAUCAAUAGCCAACUCUCCAUUCCAUGAUGGGGACAUUCUAGGAUGUAGUCUUGAAAGCGCUCCCAUGCUUCUGGAACAGAUUCAUCAUUUUGUUGCUGAAAACUUGUAAUAUUCCCACCGAGAGCAUUGGUCUUGCCCAUGGGAAAGAACUUUGCCAGGAAGUUUGUUGAGCAGAGUGCCCACGUAGUAUUCUUCUCCUUUGUAGCAUAGAACCACUGCUUCGCUCUUCCUAACAGUGAGAAUGGGAAGAGGCGAAGUAGUAUAGCAUCUUUGGAAACUCCUGCUGUGGUGAAUGUGUUGCAAAUAUCUAGGAAGUGUUGUAAAUGAGCACUAGCAUCUUCGUGUGCCUUCCCACAGAACUGGUUGGAUUGCACCAUGUUGAUAAGUCCAGGCUUGAGCUCAAAGUUGCCAUCGAUCUCUGCAGCAGGUCCAGUGCGGAUGUUGUCCGUAGUGGAAGCUGAGAACUCGCGGAUCGAUUUGUUCGCCAUGGCUUCGAACUCUGAAGACAAGUUCCGGUGAUCUUCUUGAUUGGAUGAAGCUUCUUGCUGAAGUGUUGAUGAUCUCUUCUUGAGCUUGGCUCUCGUCUUCUUGAAUAAUGCUUCGGGAUUGUCAACAAAAUUUCCUGGAAGAUGUCUUCUAUUCAUACAUUCCCCUGCAUAAGAUAAAAUAGAAAAAUAUCGGGGUAAAACUGUAUGAGAGAAUAGAUAAGCUCAAUCAUAUUAGUGAUGCGAAUGAUAACUCAAAAUCUUUUAUUCCAUUCCUGAUUAGUAAUCAACCUUCCCCGGCAACGGCGCCAAAAAUGCUUGUUGGGUAUUCUUAACAUCAUUACCAAAAGUAGACUAAGUUCUCUAAAUCUAGUAACGGUGCCAAAAAUGCCAAACCUAUCCCUCACACCACUUAAGCCAAGUUGUCAUCCCCAGCAUGACAUGAGAGACGCGGUAUUGAAAUAUGCAAUUGCUCUUCUAAAUAAAUAAUGAAUUGGAUCUGCAAGCGCACAGAUUAAUACCGAUGCAGCAUUUUAACCGGGAAGUAUUCCAAGUAUCUUUAUUUAUAUUUUUACCACUGGGAAGGGAUUAGAAAUCAUCACUAAUGAUUACAGAAUAGAAUAUGAGAUUGAGCAUCUAUCAUUGCAUGUAUAAUUGAGAACAUUAUAUCUAACUCUUCAUAUAGGGAUAAGUGUCACAUAAAAGAUAUAUGAAAUAAUAAUAGUGACAAGGAUAACUAAUCUGAUCUAGCCACAUAAUAAAUAUGAUAAGCACCUCAAUUAGAUACUCUAGAAAGUCAUUAGCAUGGUAUUAGAACGAACUACAAGAAUAUUCCCUAAGUUAUUCUUAACUAUAUAGUCUAGCAUUAUCAUAGUUAGUGCAAGCAUACUUAGCAAUCAUUGUGAGACAAGACUACACCCAUGCAUAGUGAUAUUAGCAAGGAAUAUGAGAAACAUAGCAAUCACUCCCCUGUAAUAAUGUUGCUCUGCCAGCCCAAUACACGAGAGGGGGACUAUAUAAGAAUCAAUGAAGCUGUCACUAUCACGAACCACCCGACGAUGUGGCAUAUUGGGUACAAUCGCAGAUAAAUACGGUAUAAGCACCACGCCUACACAAUAUCUAUCAUUUACCCAUGGAUCCGAUGGAUAAACGCUAUACGAUCCUAAGCAUGUAUAUAGAUCCAAUCAAACUAAGCCAAGUACAUAACUAUGAUAAACUAAGAACAAUAUAAUCUUGAAUAUAAGCAAGUAGAGCAAAGUCAUAAGCAAUAUAUUGAAGUAGAACAAAGUCAUAUUCAUAAUAUUGAAGAAAAAAGAUAAUUAGAAAGCAAUUAGAAGCACAAUUAGAGAAUUACCAAGAAUCCUCCUGACAGAUCCGGAAACCAAUCGAAGAUUGACUCCUUCUAGUUCUAAUCCUAUGUAGCUAUGCUAAUCUAGAUAUCUAAUUGAUGUGGUGGCUCUAAUCUUGAUGAGAGGCUUCUUCUCCCUUGAUGGAACAAUGAAUUAGGGUUGAGAGGCUCUCUCCUCCAGGGGCCAGGGGGUCUGGUUUUAUAGUCCCUUCAAGUGAAUAUGGGCCCUUGGAUCAAACCGACAUAGAUUGUAUGGUUUAGAUUCAUCCUUUAGGUCGGUGGAGAUCUCCCACGAAGCAGAGUCCUGAUUGGACUCCUGGAGAGGGCGGGCGCCCAGGGGAACAGGGCGGGCGCCCUGCCUCUGGCCUCGUUUCACCUCCGCUUCGGUCUCGUGGCUUCUGGAGUCUUCUAGAUGUAAGAUAAUUGCGCGGCACGUUAAUAUCUCUAUGUAAUCUCGACGUGUGGGCCUUUCUUCCUUAUUUUCUGAUAACCCCCUGCAGAAAUAGACAAACACCAAAACCCUAAACCCUAAGUCUAGAUGUUGAUUUCAUUUGGAUCCUUUUCUUUAUUUAUUUGAUAAUUAAAUUUGAUACUUAAGGACCGUCAACAGCUUCUCCAGAUCAGCCCAAGUAAUCACUGAGUUAGGAGGUAACGAUAUGAACCAAGUGAACGUCGAUCCAGACAACGAUGACGAGAACAAUCGAACCCUCAACUCGUCUCUGUUAGCAGCUUCCCCACAUUGAAUGAUGAACCUGUUGAUAUGUUUCAUGGUUGACGUAUCACCCUGUCUAGAAAACUUAGUGAAAUCUGGUACCUUGUACCGAUUUGGAAGUGGAAUUAAAUCGUAUGCAGGAGAAUACGGUGUCCGAUAAUAGUAGGUGUUGACUUUGGGCUUUAUCCCAAAUUGGUCUCUCAUUACUUCAGCUAUCUUAUCGGCCCAGUAGGUAUCGCCAUCUUGCCGAUGAGGCGUUUGCGGAUCUGGCACCUACUGAUAUGCUUCCACGUGUCUCUGAGGUGCACGAUCUGCAUGGAACACGGGGUUGAUCAUCUGACCACCAAUCUGCUAACCAAAAUUCAUCGGCUUGUUGACCAACCCUGGAUUCUGAAACCCAGGUUGGAUUUGGCCUUGUUGAAACCCUGGGGCCUGAUGAUUCUACUGAGGCAUCUAUGGAAAGACUAGCUGGCCUGUCCAUCCAUUGUUAGCAUUCAUCGGCAUAGGCCCUGCUGAUGACUGGUAAUUGGGCAUCAUCAUUUGAAGUGACAUACCCUGGCUGUGUCAUAAACCUCUGUUGCAUCAGCAUUGAAUCUGCCGAUGUGUUAGGCAUCUGGAACGUUGGAGCUUGAGAAUUCCCAGUGUAAGGUCUUGCAGUAGUAGUUGUAGUAUACCAGGGACUCUGAUUCAUCGGCAGAUUUGGAGGUGUCGAUGCCAUAGGAACCUUGCCUGUCAAGUCAGCCACUUGAGAUGUUCUAGGAGUCUUCAACAUCAUCUCAGGGGGCAUCCCGUAACCCCACCAAUUAGGAGGAACUGAUCCCGACAUUGCCGAUGCCAAUAGAUAUGUGGCAAGCUUGAUUUGUUCAUCCGAAGUUGAUGGAUUGGUCGUCAUCGGCUUAGAUUGCACAUUAGUGAGUCCUAAUGUGCUUGGAGAGGCAGUAGUUUCUGUGCCCGCAGAGGCCGUAGUAGCCGAUGGAGCCGUGACCACAGGUGAUCCUAGCUGAUGAUAGGCAGGGCUCACAUAAUUUGGUGGCAAUUGUCCUUCCUUAAAAGUUCUAGCCACAGCGUUGAAAACCGUGUUAGACAGCACACCAGCUUGAUUAAUCAAGGCACGGUUAAUAGCAUUGUCAACCAUUGUUGAUUCAAAAGCUUGAUGUGGAAACACAAAGGGCUAAUACUCGAUUCAAACAUUAAGGCGUGCAAGCCGUCGAAAAAGUAGACGCUAGAAUAUGAGUAAAAACUUAUGUUUGAUUGAUUGAUCGAUUGAUUACAAGGCCCUAGGGUCUACAUUUAUACCCUACUCAAAGAGCUACAACCAGACACGUCUAGGACUCGAAUUCCAAAUUAAACAGAAUCCGUACAUAAAAUGAUUUAAAUAACUAAGGAAAACAUAAAACUAUCCCCCCGUAACAAACUGGGAAACCACCACAGGCCAAUCGGCAACCUUCAGGUUCUUCUUCCGAAUCAUCGGCAGACCCCUCAUCGUAGCCAUCGACACAGGUUAAUGCUGACCAUCGGCAUAAACACAUCACCACCCAUAGACUUAGUCACAUUCAGCUGUCCCUUCAUCGGAAACCACCCUCAUUGGCAACUCUCCUGUAGACCAGUUACUGUUGCCCUAUCUUGCCGAUCUACACUCUACCGAUCCUGGGUACGUGUCCAAAAACGGUGUCAACACAUGCCCCCCAAUUUUGGAGUAUGAAAUCAUUAAUGCUCCGAAAUUCUCUGCAGUAUGAUGCCUUUCCGCAAUUAAUUCUCCCAAUUUGGCAACCGAGAGUCUAAAUCUGAACAACCUUGGCCUAAUUCUUCCACAGAUUCCUCGAAUUCCUCAACCUCCCAAAUGGACACCUCCACCUUAUUCGCCCAUCGGCAAUAUUACCAUUACAAGGAGCUGCCGAUGGACCGACCAGGAAAUCCCGCAUAGUGAAAUAUCUCUAGAUUAUGACCGCCUCCUGUCAAAUCACCUGCGCAAUCCCUUGAUUACCGUGCGAACAGUUACCAUAUCCACCUAAGUACUCUCGGAUUUCACGGAUACGGCGAAGAGAUAAGUCAGAAUUGCCCUUGCCCGUUUUGUCCUAUAAAUAGUUCCUUCUCGGGUACUCCUUCUCCAUCGCAUCAUUCUACAGCCCCAACUCUGCUUUUCUAGCGGCGGCGCUGUUCGAAAGCUCCGAGAACUUCAACAAGAACCUCCUCCAACAACCCCCAAAUUCUCCAUCUUCUCCCCUACUAGGAGAUGGCCGUCAAAUUCAUCGUACCUGAGCUCAGUUCUACUUCUCUCUUGUAUUUUUACUGCAUUCCUGUUCAUCCGCAGUUCAUCUUAUUGAAUACUCUUCUCCCUUUUUUAUUUUGCUCUUCUUUUUACCCCCAAAAACCAUUAGGAUCUGUCCAAUAAAAUUGUCAUCCCUACCGAUCAGCCACACCACCAAUGUUUCGGUCCGCUAGGGAACCCAGAUCCCACCGAUCUGAUCAACGCAGAAACAAACAGAAUCCCCUUUAGAGCAGAGAAAUUUUCUCUAGAUCUGUGGAAAGACACCUUCCGUUCCUAGCCCAGUCCUACCGUGGGAUGGAAGGAUUGGUUCUUGAAACUCAGCCAUUCGAAUGAGGUUCAGUGGGGCGAACGAAAACUGGACCAGUGCAUUAGGCUAUCUCUUGCCGAUAUGCAUUGGAAUGAAUCACUGCUGAUUGCUGCAUAAUAUUUCUGGUCAGACACACUUAAUGCCUUUGUUUUCGGCCAUGGCCAUGCUUCUCCCACUCUUGCCGAUGUGCUUAUGCUCACUGGCUUAGAUGUAUCCACUGCCAAUAGUAGUCACAUCUUUGACACCACACCUAGUGCUAAAGUGGAAACCCGCUCUAUCGGUGGUUGGUCUGGGUACAUUCAGAAGUACCGUAGAACAGGGUCUGUCAGCAUUAAGGAACAAACCACCUUCCUGAACAUGUGGCUAGACAAAUUUGUAUUCUACGGUCGAUCGGCAGGACCAACCUCUGUUUACCUAUCGGCAGCAGAGAGAUUAGCUAAUGGUGGCUGAUUUCCCCUCGGCCGAUACUUGCUCGGCUCGGCUUACCAUCUCCUCCAUCAAGUAGCCAGAAAACUCCUACUCGGCCAAUCCAUCAGCAACUUAGGGGGGCCCUGGUGGUUCAUCAACAUGUGGCUCAGUCUCCAUAUGCACAAGCGUCUUGAGUUCAACCUCUUCGCACAACGCUUCCCUAGGGACAUAGCCGAGGAUUAUGAAUUGGAUGAAGAAGAAUCGGCAACUCGUCCUCCUCUGAACUUUGGCGAGGCCGUCAUAGUUCUACCUGGUACAGGUGGCAACGUAGACCAGGUCAGCCGAUUCUUCCAGACCCUGUACGAAGGCCUGACCAGAGAACAGCGAGCAUGGAUGCCUUAUGAAGAUCCAGACACCAUAUUUCCUUUGGUCUUCCACCUGUUCAAUGAUGUUCUCAACAAGGAUCACGAUGUGACGAUGGCUCUUAUCACUCCGAGAGCCGUACCAGUAAACUUCUUUGGCAGUGGGAAGGCCUCCAACCAGACCUAUGAAUUUUACAAUCCAUCGGCACUAGCUCAUCAACUAGCUUUCGGUCAACUGCCGAUUGCACUCUGUUAUGCCGAUGUGAUAAAACCCAGGGAAACCAUCACCAGCCUUCUUGAGUGGACCAGGAUAGCUCAACUGCCACCGAGUGCCGAUACAGAUGCAGAUCUAUCAGAGUGGAUCCCGACCCUUUUCAUUACUCAGGCGUACAAACAAUGGUGGGAAGAAUGGAAGUAUUUCCAAACCGAUGUUCUGCAAAUCGGCUCUUACGUACCGCGGCAUGAUCGACCCCCAGUACAAAGUCCCCGAUAAUACUGUAAGUAUUUCCAAACCGAUGUCUCAAUCCUUCCACUUUUAUUUCCAUCGGUAACUCACUUUCUGCGUUAUAUUACAGGUUGACAACACACCACCAUCAGUCAGUAGGAGUGGCAAGCCGAUUGAGCUUUUUCCAUCAGGUCCAAUCUCCUCGAUCGGCAACAAUGCUCCACCUUAGCUGCCAUAAUGCAUCGAGGUGUGCGCCUCAAGAAAGUCACCACCAAGAGGACGAAGGCAUCUCCAUCGGUAGCUGCCUCUACUGCAGCAUAGGCCUUCAAGGUAAAUUUUCAAAUUCUUUCAUCCAUACCGAUUCCAUUCUUACAUCAGUUACACUUGUACUUAUUGUUGUACCAGCACACCGGCGCAUCGGCAAGGACCACAAGCACAAGUGCCGAUGCCCCCCAGUCCAGUCAACCGAAGAGAAAAGGUACCAAGACUACCAGAUCACAAGCAAAGCGCCAAAGAAUUGCAACGCCUUCUCCUCCUCCAGUAUCUCCAAUCCCGGUGGAAUCUGCUCCUUCUUCUCCAGAAGCUCAGACACAGCAGAUACCUUCUCCUCAGCCACGACAAGAACCCCACGCAGAAGAACUCCAGCCAGAGGAACCUCAGCCAGAAGACACAUCGGCUGACAUACACGAGCAAAAUGCCGAUCCAGCAAGUUCAAUCAUAGCAUCGGUAGUUUCCUCCAUCCAAACAAGUAUUGCUCCCCCUCAAGGUAACAUACUUUUUAUGAAAUUAUUGCCGAUGAAUUUACUUUUCCUGUCCUAUAAUUACUUCUAUUAAUCUUUCAGCUGCCAUAGUUCCAUCGGCAACCCUAGCCGAUCAGCCCGUGGUUCCAUCGACACCAUCUAGUCAGAGGCGAGAGAUUGCCCUGAAACAAGUAAGUUACCCAAUCUUCAUCUAUAUUAUUCAUCAAUACUGGACCAUGGAAUAACUUAUUUUAUUUCCUUUCAGGAACAGGACUCCCCCGACAGUUUGUUUUCCUUUGCCAUCGACAUCUCUGAAGAUGAAGGCGAGGAGGCAAGUUCCUCUCGAGCAAUUGGAAUCACAUUGGCAGAAAUCAAGGCAAAAUUAGAAGAGUUAUCGGCCCUCCUUCAUCAAGACAUAGCCCAAUUGGUCGAUGACUCUGAUCCGACCAAGGCCUUGUUCAAGACCCUCAGAGGCCAAAUCCCCGCCGAUGACGAAGAAAUCCUUUUCCAAAGCUGCACAUCUAGAAAGCCGUCAACUGCAGUAUCAAAGGGCUGCUCAACGCCUUGCCGAUAGAGCUGCUCAUGCUCAGCUCUCAGAAGAAAUGAUGAAAGUGAAGCUCCUUGCCGAUGAGAGGCAUAAAAACAUCGGCACCCUGGAGUCCUCAAGAGAUGUGCUCAAAUAAAAGAUUUCUGAUCUAUCGACAAAGAGAGAAGCUCUGCUUACAGAACUCAAACGGGUAGAAGAAGCCAUGUCCCAAGCUCAACAAGAAGAAAGUCAACUGCCUGAGACGAUCAAGAUUCUUGAACAAGAGCGGAAUGUCCCAGCCCGCAAAGCACUACAGAUGAAGAAGAAGCUGAAGCCGGUGGAGGGCUCUGCCAAUGACGACACAAAGGAGAUAGAAGAAGCCAAUCAGAUACGUCAGCGAGCCAUAUCAACGAUCCAGGCUUUGUUAAACAUCUGAAUUCUUUAUCGGCGGCAUACUUGCUCUUUUCUUUUGAACAACCCUAGUAUUUUUGUCUAGCCGAUAGGACUGUUAUCGGCACCUUUUAAAACACUAAGUCCAUCUCCAAAUACAGUUUAAUCCAGCCGAAAUGUUAGCGGCACUUAAACUUUCAUGCAUCGACCCAUAUACUAGAGUAAUAUUUCUUUAGAUAUUUGCCAUUUAAUGCCCUGGGAAAUUCAACUCCUUCAAGAGUUUCUAAAAUAUAGGCGUUACCAAGAGCUGAUCGACUUAUCCGAUAGGGACCCUCCUAAUUAGGAGACCACUUCCCAAAUUUUGAACUUUUAGUCCCGAUCGGUAAGAUUAGCUUCCAUACUAAGUCUCGAUCAGCAAAUUCCUUAGCUUUUACUUUCUUAUCAUACCAUCUGGCAACCCUCUUCUUAUUCUCUUCUAUACUCAUCAAAGCCCUUAGCCGAUGCCCUGCUAGAUCAUCCAACUCAUCUGUCAUCAGAGUAGCAUAAUCAUCGGUCGGCAGCCAAUUGAUCUUAAAAAGAUAGUCGCCUAGACCCAGUCUUAAUUUCCCAGGGUAACACUGCAUCAUGCCCAUAUACCAACUAGUAAGGUGAAAUCGUGGUCGAUCCAUGACAAGCCAUCCGGUAUGACCAUAAAGCUUCGCUUAAUAACGUGUGCCACCUCCUAGGAUUUUCUUCAAUCCUCCGCUUAAUGAGCUUGAUAAUUCCUUUAUUAGAUGCCUCGGCCUGCCCAUUAGCUUGAGCAUAAUAAGGAGAAGAGUUUAAUACUUUAAUUCCCAUACCGAUCACAAACUCAUCAAACUCCCCUGAUGUGAACAUAGUACCCUGAUCGGUAGUAAUCGUUUGAAGAAUCCCAAAUCAGUAAAUAAUAUGCUCUUUCACAAAAUCAAUCAUAUUGGCCGAUGUAAUUUUCUUUAAAGGAAUAGCUUCAACCCAUUUGGUGAAAUAAUCGGUGGCAACCAAGAUAAACUUAUGUCCCUUGCUGGAUGGCGGAUAAAUCUGGCCGAUUAAAUUAAUAGCCCAUCCUUAGAACGGCCAAGGCUUGAUGAUAGGAUUCAGGGCCGAUGCGGGUGCCCUUUGAACAUUGCCAAACUUCUGACAUCCUUGACACCCUUUGAAAUACUUAAAGCAAUCCUCAAGUAUAGUCGGCCAAUAAUACCCGUUUCUUCUGAUCAUCCACUUCAUCUUAAAUGCCGACUGAUGUGCUCCACACACUCCUUCAUGGAUCUCUCCCAUCAAACUUCUAGCCUCAUCAUCACCUAAACACUUGAGAAGAAUCCCAUCAAUAGUUCGAUAAUAUAAUUCAUCUUCGUGGAGCACAUACUUGGUGGCUUGAAACCGAACACGCCUCUUUACUUUCUUGGAUGGAUCCUUUAAAUAAUCAACGAUUUCUUUUCUCCAAUCAUCGGCACCGAUUGCCGAUGUUGCACUAAUCAUGGGCUGAUAUCCCGAGGCAUGCUAAGCCAACCGAUUGGCCUCUUCAUUAUGCAAUUGAGGAACAUGCUCUAAUCGGAAGUCCUUGAAUUCCUUUAACAGUUGCAUACUCCUUUCAUGAUAAGUUAUCAGGACCUCGCUUCGGCAUACAUAGCUUCCAGCCAAUUGAUUUAUAACUAGCAUAGAAUCCCCGAAGAUUUCAAUAGCAUCAGGAUGAAUUUCCCUUAGUAAUUCCAACCCCUUUAUCAAAGCUUGAUACUCAACCUGAUUAUUUGUUGACAUGGCAACAAUCGGCAAAGAAAACUCGUACUUCCUUCCUCGUGGGGAAAUCAACACUAUGCCGAUCCCUGCCCCCCGGUCACACGUGGAUCCAUCAAAGAAGAGCGUCCAAGGUACAAUUUCCAAAGUCUCCACUGUACCGCAAUGUUGAGUCACAAAAUCGGCCAUAAUCUGUCCCUUAACCGCUUUAUCAAAUUCCGAUAGUUCCAAAAUCCACUUACCGAUCCUGCCACUCAUGAUCGGCAUAAAUAGCAUGUAUCGGACCACAUCAUCUUUGCAAAUAAGAGUGCAUUCGGCCGAUAGCAAAUAAUGUCUUAACUUAAUACAAGAGAAGUAUAAGCAUAAGCACAGUUUCUCAAUAGCCAAAUACCUGGUCUCAGCAUCAAUCAACCUUCUACUUAAAUAGUAAAUCACACGUUCCUUCCCUUCAAAUUCUUGAAUUAAAGCCGAACCGAUGACCAUCCCAUCGGUAGACAAAUAUAAUCUGAAGGGCUUUUCUUGCUGAGGUGGAAUUAGAACUGGAGGAUUUACCAAAUAAUUUGUGAUUUCAUCUAAGGCCAACUGUUGUUCCUUCCCCCAAACGAAUUCUUGAUCGGCUUUCAACUAAAGUAAAGGACUGAAAGCAUGAAUUUUACCAAACAAAUUAGAUAUAAAACUCCUGAUAAAAUUUACCUUGCCGAUCAAGGAUUGGAGCUCAGUCUUGUUGGUAGCAGCAACUAUUUUGUUGAUAGCAUCAGUGGACCUCCGAAUAAUUUCAAUCCCCCUUUGAUGCAUCAUGAAACCAAGGAGCUGUCCUGCCGAUACACCAAAUGCACACUUAUUGGGAUUCAUCUUUAAACCAUGCUUCCUCGUGCAUUCUAACACUUUUCGCAAGUCGGCAAGAUGUUUUGUGAAGUCUCCAGACUUAACCACCACAUCAUAAUAUAAAUUUCUACCAGCUUGCCGAUGAACUCAUGAAAUAUAAAAUUCAUGGCCCUCUGAUAAGUAGCACCAGCAUUUUUCAAGCCAAAGGUCAUGACUAUCCAUUCAGACAACCCAACAUGACCAGGACAUCUAAAUGCAGUCUUUGGAAUAUCUUCUUCAACCAUGAAUAUUUGAUUGUAUCCUGCAUUGCCAUCCAUAAAGCUGAUAAUCCCAUGCCCAGCCGCAACAUCAACUAGCAGAUCGGCAUCUGGCAUUGGGUAGCCAUCCAUCGGUGUGGCUUUAUUAAGAUUUCUGAAAUCAAUGCAGACCCGAAGCUUCCCAUUUUUCUUAUAAACCGGAACAACAUUGGAAAUCCACUCGGCAUACCGACAUUGCCGAAUAAAUUUAGCUUCAAUAAGUUUGGUUAUUUCGGCCUUAAUAUUAGAAAGAUUAUUAGGAUUACAUCGGCGAGCUGGCUGUUGAUGUGGCUGAAAUCCAGACUUAAUAGGCAAUCGAUGUUCAACAAUUGAUCGGUCCAAACCAGGCAUCUCAGUAUAAUCCCAAGCAAAGCAAUCUUUAUAUUCCUUUUACAAAUCAGUUAACUGUUGCUUACACUCAAAACUUAACUUAGCACUAAUAAAAGUAGGUCUAGGCUUGUCCCUACUACCUAUAUCUACUUCCACCAAAUCUUCGGCCGAUGUGAAUCCCUGGCCCAAUUUUCCAUCAUCGGCGAACCUAUCCAUUAAAAACCUUCAUCAGAACUGACUGCUUGGAUCGGUGGAAUUUCAUAAUCGGCAACUUUGAGAAAAUCCUUUUCCCAAAUCUUUCCUGAGAUACACCUAGUCCUCUCAUAGGUAUCUGCCUCUGCCGAUGCGAUGACGUAAGAAGAAUCUCCUAGACAACCUCAAUCUUGUCACCUACCCACUGAACCAAGCAUUGGUGCGUUGUAGACGGGAUGCAACAAUUGGCAUGAAUCCAAUCUCUCCCUAACAGCAAGUUAUAAGCACCCUUUCCGCUGAUCACGAAGAAAGUCGUCGGCAAGGUUUUGCUGCCGAUGGUCAACUCGACGCAGAUGGCUCCCUUAACUGGAGACACAUUCCCUUCAGAGUCUUUGAGCAUCAUAUCGGUCUUGGUCAAAUCCUGAUCUCCUUUUCCAAGCUUCCGAUACACUGCGUACGGCAUGAUGUUGAUAGCAGCUCCACCAUCAAUUAGUAUCUUGGUCAUUGGCUGACCAUCAACCCUUCCUUUGAGAAACAAAGCUUUAAGAUGCUGCCUUUCAUUGUCGGCAGGCUUCUCAAAGAUAGCCAUCAUCGGAUCCAGAGCCAACUGAGCUAUCUGGUCAGAAAACUCCAACUCCUCAUCAUCGCUGGACGGCGCAAGGAAUUCCAUCGGCAACAUAAAUACCAUGUUGACAUCUGCCGAUGGCCCUUUCCCCUUAGGAUCUGAUUGUUGCUGAUCCCCAGGUUGGCCAGAGUUCUCGCCCUUGCUUAGCUCUUCUCAUCUUUCGCGCUGCAGUCUUCUCUUCUGUGUCCUAGUCAACCCCUCUGGACACCAUGGAGGAAGUUGUUGCUGUUUUACCGAUGGGCGACGAUUUUCCCUUGACUCCAUCUGAUAAGUAUUGGCAUCCCUGCAAAAUAUGAACCCAUCGGGACCCCGUGCAUUAGCCAUUUCUUCAAGCUCUUCCUGGUUCCAGGGAAAGUAUUCAACACGGUCACCAAGCCUAUCAUGCACGCUGAGCCUGCCUCCCAGCCGAUCAUGAACCGACGCUCUCCCCCUAAUCGGCCCAUCAAACCGGCGGUUAUUGUUCUCAUACUGCCGAUUUGAUCUGUCAUACCGAUCAUAACCAUUACAUUCCGGCUAGUCUCUGACAGUAGGAAGCUUGAUAUUUUCAUCCCAACAAUGGAUGAAGAACAGACAAUUCCAGUUAUCCCUAUGCCGAUUCCACUCUUGUCGGCGUCUUUCUUCUUCCCGAUGAUAGUCUUCUUGCUGGCACCGAUACCGAUCCUCACGUUGCUACCAAGUUUCUCGAGGCCUUCUGUGAGUUAUUACAAUACCAGAUCGGGGAGGCCUUCCCGAGUUAGUUCCCUCUUGGAUCAAGCCUUUUCCUUUUCCAUCGGCAGUAGUGAUUUGAUGCUGAGGAUCUACCGAAGCACUUCUUUCAGCUGCUUCUGAUGUUAAGACCUUGGCCUUUCCCUUAGCAUCCAGCAUAUUUGUUGGGAAAGGAUUUUGAUCAAUUUUCAUCGGCUUCUGGGUUUUGGAGUUGUCAAAUUUGAUCCUUCCAGAUUCUAUAGCCGAUUGCAGCUGUUGUCCAAAAACUUUGCACUCAUUGGUGCUGUGAGAAGUUGCAUUAUGCCACUUGCAGUAUUUCAUCUUCUUUAAUUCCUCAGCCGAUGGGAUUACACAAUUUGAUCUGGCCUUCUUGAAGUAGAAAGUCAAAUAUCCUAUCGGCUUUGGUAAUAUCAAAUGCAAACUUCUCCGGCUCCUUGUGCCCAAAAGGGCAAGACAUCGGCUUCUUAUUCUUUACCCAUUCUGCCAAGCCGAUGACUGGUUCCUCAUCAGAGUCCGAGCUUGCUGCUUCGUCCACAAAUGAUACCUUUUUGUUCCAUGCUCUCUUGGGCUCAAAAGGCCUGAUAGCUUGAUCAAAAAUUCUCUGCACCAAAUGACUCAAGCUUUCAAACUCUUGAGAUGCAUACUUGUCCCUGCAAACCCUGGAAAGCCAAAUCGGCUAGCUGCCGAUCAUCCAAAACCAGACUAUAGCAUUUGUUCUUGACCUCCCGUAUUCUCUGCACAAAACUUUCAACCGAUUCAUCAUUGCGUUGCUUCAAUUUGACCAAAUCGGUGAUCUUCUUCUCAUGGACUCCAGAAAAGAAGUAUUUGUGGAAUUGCUUCUCUAGAUCGGCCCAAGCAACCACUGAGUUAGGAGGUAAUGAUAUAAACUAAGUGAAAGCCGAUCCAGACAAUGAUGACGAGAACAAGCGAACCCUUAAUUCAUCCCUGUUAGCAGCUUCUCCACACUGAAUGAUGAACCUGUUGACGUGCUCCAUGGUCGAUGUAUCAUCCUGCCUAGAAAACUUAGUAAAAUCCGGCACUUUGUACCGAUUUGGAAGCGGGAUUAAAUCAUAUGCAGGAGGAUACGGUGUCCGAUAAGAGUAAGUGUUGACUUUGGGUUUUAUCCCAAAUUGGUCUCUCAUUACUUCAGCAAUCUUAUCGGCCCAAUAAGCAUCGGCAUCUUGCCGAUGAGGCGGUUGCAGAUCUGGGAUCUACUGAUAUGCAUCCACGUGUCUAUGUGGUGCGCGAUCUGCAUGGAAUAUUGGGUUAAUCAUCUGGCCACCAAUCUGCUGACCACCGAUCUGUUGACCACCAAACUGCUGACCACCAUGAUUCGUUGGCUGGUUGACCAACCCCUGAUUCUGGAAUCCAGGGUAGAUCUGGCCUUGUUGAAACCCUGUAGCUCGAUGAUGCUGUUGGGGCAUUUGUGGAAAGUCUUGCUGCUCAGGCCAUCCACUAUUAGCAUUCAUCGGCAUAGGGCCUGCCGAUGUCUGGUAAUUGGGCAUCAUCAUUGAAUUAACAUACCCUGGCUGAGUCAUAAACCUCUAUUGCGUCAGCAUUGAAUCAGCCGAUGCGUUAGGCAUCUGGAACGUUGGAGCUUGAGAAUUCCCAGUGUAAGGCCUUGCAGUAGUGGUUGUAGUGUACUGGGGACUUUGAUUCAUCGGCAUAUUUGGAGGUGUCGAUGCCAUAGGAGCCUUGCCUCUCACAUCAGCCGUCUGAGAUACGUUAGGUGUCUUCAAUGUCAACUCUGGAGGCAUACCAUAACCCCACCAGUUAGGAGGAGGGACUGACCCCGACAUUGCCGAUGCCAAUAGAUCUGUAGCAAGCUUGAUCUGCCCAUCUAAAGUUGAUGGAUUGGUCGUCAUCGGCAUAGAUUGUGCAUUAGUGACUCCUAACGUGCUUGGAGAAACAGUAGUUUCUGUGCCCACAGCGGCUGUAGCAUCCGACGGAGCUGUGACCACCGGUGAUCCUGGCUGUUGAUGAGAAGGGCCCACAUAAUUUGGUGGCAAUUGUCCUUCUUUGAAAGUUCUAGCCACGACAUUGAAAACUGUAUUAGACAACACACCAGCUUGAUUGAUCAAGGCACGGUUAAUAGCAUUAUCAACCAUGUCUUGAAGUUUACCAGGAUGUGCUUCAAAAGUAACCUGCCGAGGCAUCGGCAUUGCUUCCUUCUGGAUCACUUCGCCACUCCUGUUUAUGCUGAAGGCCUUGAGACAUUGUUGCUUGUAAUACUCCAUAGCCUUCGCAAUAGCUUGCUUCUGCUUAUCUUUGAGGCUAGCUUCUGUCACGGGGAUGACAUUCUCCAAAUCAAAAUCGCUAGUUGCCAUGUCGAUCUUGAUCUGGAAACAGUCCCACUGGGCGUGCCAAAAGAUGUGUUGAUGCAAAAGCUAGAUCUGCAAACACAAAGGGCUAAUACCCGAUUCAAACGUUAAGGCGUGCCAGCCGAUUUGACCUUACUAUCGGCAAAGGUGAUAACUCGAAUACUUUGGUCCCGACAACAGCGAUGCGCCCGGAUGCCACGGCCAAGAGGUAUUCACGUGGAACUCGAGAACACGUCGAGCUUAAGUCGACGGGUUCCUAAGAACUCGUGAUGAAAAGGAAAAUAUGACGAAGUCGUCGAAAAAGUAGAUGCUAGAAUAUGAGUAAAAACUUAUGUUUGAUUGAUUGAUCGAUUGAUUACAAGGCCCUAGGGUCUACAUUUAUACCCUGCUCAAAGAGCUACAACCAGACACGUCUAGGACUCGAAUUCCAAAUUAAACAGAAUCCAUACACAAAACGAUUUAAAUAACUAAGGAAAACAUAAAACUAUCGUCCCAUAACAAACUGGGACACCACAACAGGCCAAUCGGCAACCUUCAGGUUCUUCUUCCGAAUCAUCGGCAGACCCCUCAUUGUAGCCAUCGGCACAGGUUAAUGCUGACCAUCGGCAUAAACACAUCACCACCCAUGGAUUUAGUCACAUUCAGCUGUCCCUUCAUCGGCAACCACCCUCAUCGGCAACUCUCCUGCAGACCAGUUACUGUUGCCCUAUCUCGCCGAUCUACACUCUACCGAUCCUGGGUACGUGUCCAAAAACGGUGUCAAUAACCAUGUCUUGAAGUUUACCAGGAUUGGCUUCAAAAGUAACCUGCCAAGGUGCCGGCAAUGCUUCCUUCUGGAUCACCUCGUCACUCCUGUUGAUGCUAAAGGAUUUCAAACAUUGCUGCUUGUAAUCCUCCAUGGCUUUUGCGAUACCUUGCUUUUGCUCAUCUCUGAGAUUGGCAUCCGUCACAGGGAUGACGUUUUCCAAGUCGAACUCGAUAUUCGCCAUGUUGAUCUUGAUCUUGAAUCUAUCCCACCAGUCGUGCCAAAAGAUGUGUUGAUGCAAAGCUAAUCUGCAAACACAAAGGGCUAAUACCAGAUCUAAACGUUAAGGCGUGCCAGCCGAUUUGACCUUGCAAUCGACAAAGGUGGUAACUCGAUCACUUUGGUCCCGACAACAGCGAUGCGCCCCGAUGUCACGGCCAAGAGGUGAUCACGCGGAACUUGAGAACACACCGAGCCUAAGUGGACGAAUUCCUAAGAACACGUAGUAAAAAGAAAAAAUGACGAAGUCGUCGAAAAAGUAGAUACUGGAAUAUGAGUAAAAACUUGUGUUUGAUUGAUUGAUAGAUCGUUUAUUACAUUGCCCUAGGGUCUAUAUUUAUACCCUGCCUGAAGAGCUACAACCAGACACGACUAGGACUCGAAUUCCAAACUAAACGGAACCCGUACACAAAACGAAUUCUAAUAACUAAGGAAAACAUAAAACUACCCCCUUGUAACCGACCGGGGCACCGCCACAGAUCAAUCGGCAAUCUUCACGCUCUCCUUCAGAGUCAUCGGCAAACCUCCUGUUGUGGCCGUUGGCAAACACUAAAACUGAUCAUCGGCACGAACACGCCACCACCUCUGGACUUAGUCACAUUCAAUUGUCUCCUCAUCGGCAACCACCUUCAUCGGCAACUUUCCUGCAAACUAGUUACCGUUGCUUCAUCUGCCGAUCUAUACUUUACUAAUUCCCAGGUACGUGUCAAAAGAUACGUGUCCAAAAACGGUGUCAACAGCAGCUCUCCUCACGACAGCGCGAGAGGGAACGAUGAGAAGUCUUUGCAGCAAGGAUGGCGGUGCCGCAGUAUCUCAACUGGUCGAGCACCCUAUUGACGGUCCUUAAGUACCAAAUAUAAUCAUCAAAUAAAUAAAGAAAGUAUCCAAAUGCAACCAACACCCAGACUUAGUGUUUUAUCUGACAGAAUUCCAUGAGUUUUGGUGUUUGUCUAUUUCUACAGGGGGUUGUUAGGAAAUAUGGAGGAAAGGCCCACAUGUCGGGUUUACAUAGAGAUAUUAACGUGCCGCACAAUUUUCUAUCAUCUAGAAGACUCCAGAAGCCACGGGAACGAACGGGAAGCCGAGCGGGCUCGGGGACAGGGCGCCCGCCCUCCCCCCUUGGGCACCCGCCCUGGUGUUUUGGCCAAUCAUGUUCUACUUCGUGGAUCAUGCUCCACCGACCUAAAGGAUCAAGAAAAACCGUGCGAUUAAUGUCAGUUUGAUCCGACGGCCCAGAUUCACUUGAGGGGACUAUAUAAGCAGGCCCCCUGGACCUUGGAGGAGGCACCCCCUUCAUCCUUAUUCAUUAUUCAUAGAUAGAGCAAAAGCUAGGGUUUGGAGAUGAGAACUCUCCUCUCAUCUCUAAACUAGAGUAGAUCUAGAUAGUAGCGAGAUGGAGAGUGAGGGAGGAUUGGAGGAGAGGCCGGCCUGUUGGUUCUUCCUCUGGUUGUACUUUGCCAUGAUCAAGCUCUAAUCAAGUUUUCUCAUGGGAUGACUCUGGUAAUCUACUUCUAUUUCAUUAUGCAAUUACUAUCCAUGUAUGUUCUGGUUCACAACUCUUUUGAGUACUUUAAUCUAUAGGACGCUAUAGGUGAGAGUUGUAGUAUAGGUGUAAGCGUGGUGCUUAGACCUAGAUUACUUGUGGAUAUCCCCAGUCUAGCCGGAUCGUGUGGUAGGCCGCGUAGGUGACAGUUACAUUGGCCCCUGUAGUCCACCUCCUGUUAGCAGGACUGGUAGGGUUUAUCGGUCUAUGGAUAAGCAUCCUUUGUGGUGUAUUCUUAUCACGUGGUUCGUCCCAGACAUAGACAUACCCCUUUGAAGUAGAGAAACCAUAGUUAUCCUCUCUAUUCUCCUACCAUCGCCAAUAUACUAGAUUGCUCUACUAUCUAUUCCCAUAUUAUCACCCAUUGUUAUCUUACCUUUAAUAUUGUUCUUAUUCAAUUCUACCAUCUUUCCUAUUUACACCUAUCUAUCUAUCUUGGUUAAGUUAGAGCGUAGUUGGUUCUCCCGUUUCCCUGUGGAUACGAUAAAACCUUUAAUUGGGUAAAAGCUACAAUGGUAUCCGUGCGCUUGCGGAUUUAUCUGUGUGUGUAUAAAUACCAUAGUACACUCUAGUGCCAUGUUGGGGAUGACAACCUAGUAUUCAAGUGGUGUUAGCAAGUGUCAACAAGCUUUUUGGCACCGUUGCCGGGGAGACGGUUGCUGAGUUGACUACAAACUAGCUUAAUCAUUUUCUAAAAAAAUAUACUUUUCCUUUUGUCCUUUGCCUUAUAUCUGCUAUUCUUUCUUCUUAUCUAAUCCUUGAUUUCUCGUCUACCAUGAAUGCAAACAUGUCUAUCUAUCAGUUUCAUAGACCUACAGGCACACAUCUCGAACCACCAAAAUCUUCAAAGCCUAUUGUUGACGGUUCUUAAGUUUCAAUUUUAAUUGUCAAAUAAACAAGAGAAAGGACCAAUAUGCAAACAACACCUAGAAUUAGGGUUUGAUCUGACAGAAUUCCACGAGUUUUGUUAUUUAUCUGUUUCUGCAGGGGGUUAUCAGGAAAUAAGGAAGAAAGGCCCACAUGUCGGGAUUACAUAGAGAUAUUAAUGCACCGCGCAAUUUUCUACCAUCUAGAAGACUCAGAAGCCACAUGAACGAAGCGGAGACCAAAUGGGGCCUGGCCCAGGGCGCCCGCUCCCCUUUGGAGUCCAAUCAGGACUCUCUUUGCAGAUCAAACUCCACCUGGUUUGAUCCAACCGCCCACUUUCACCUGAGGGGACUAUAAAAUCAGACCCCCUAGCCCCUGGAGGAGACAAGUUCAUCAUAGAGUUGAGAGGAUCCCUCGAAGGAACACCUCUACUCUAAAUAGACUUAGGGCUUAGCAUCCAAUGUGAGUAGAAUUAGAUCUUCUAGUUUCUACUAGAUUGAGAGAGAUAGAGUGGAGGUAUAGAUCGGAGGAAGCCCGGCCUGUCGGUGUCUACUCCGAGGUUGUACCUGCGGGAUCAAGUUCUCCUAACCAGAAGCUUGCUCCUAGGAUUCUUCAGUAUUUUGACUUCUAAAUUCUAGUAAGUUCUUGUUUUAUUGUUCUUUGGUUUAUGAGUUUACUUUAAUCUCUUCGUGUAGAGUUUAGAGUAAUCAUCUCUAGCGUACACGUAGUAUUUGGGCUAGGAUACUCAUAGAUAUUCCCUGACUAGCUGGACCGUGGUAGUAGCGAGGAACGUGACAUUUCCGAGUUACUUUGCAAACCAUAUCUCGUUAGCAGGAAGGAUAGGGUUUAUAGGUGCGGGUUGAACAUCCUCUGUGGUGUCUAGAUUCUGUAACCUUCCCCAACAGAACAGUAGAUCAUCCUUACCAAGGUUAGAAAGAGACUAUGGUUGUAGUUUUCUCUGUUUAUCACUCACAUCGAGAAACAUUCUUUGUAGCCUAAAGGUUAGUAGUAAUAGACUGGGUUAGUCAGAUGCACUCUUUCUCCUAGUGGUAAAAAUAUAAAUACAAUACUCUGGAUAACCUCCCGGGUGAAGUGCUCACCGAUAUCCGUGCGCUUGCGGAUCAAUUCCUUAUUGCGUUCCCAAAUAUCAACAAGCAUUUCUGGCGCCGUUGCCGGGCAGAAAGACGGUUUGCUGAGAUAACCUUGAGUCUUACUACUAGCUUGUAUCUAUACUUUUAUCUUUUCUUAUCUUUUAUAUUCUUUAUUUAUUUUCUUUAUUCUUACCUUAUGGAAAACCAAGAUUCUAAAUCAAUCUACCAAUUUGCAACACCUUCAGAAACUAACCUUUUACCAUGGGAGUCAUCACAGCCUAUCCAAACAUCCCAGUAUAGGUUAAUUUCUAGGUUGAUUGCCAUGAUUCAAAACCUAUCCUUUUGAGGAAAGGAAGACGAAAACCCUUACCUUCAUAUUAGAGAUUUUGAGCAAACAUGUGAUUGUCUUCGCAUUGAAGGCAUUUCUGAUAAAACUUUACGUUGGAAGCUUUUUCCUUUUUCUUUAAGGGGAGAAGCUAGACAAUGGUAUAGUCAGAAGGUAAGUCAACAACAAGGUGAAUGGGGAGUUUUACGAGCCGACUUUUGUCUAGAUUUUUAUUCCCUCGACCGUAUCGGCGACCUUAGACAAAUCCUAGAAAAAGAUAAUGAAACUUUGGGAAAAUCCUGGAAACAUUUUUCUGAUUUUUUAGAAUCUGGUCCAAACCUUAAUCUUGAAGACCCUGUUCUUUUAUUUCACUUUUUUCGAGGUCUUCAGAACGAUCACAAACAAAUGCUACAUACAAUGUCUAGAGGUUCUUUCUUUCGCAUCCCUACUAAUGAUGCUAGAGUGAUCCCAGAUAGAAUCCUAGAAGCUGAGAUGGAUGAUACCCUUCAUAAUGAAACCCACGAAGCUGAAGUAGACACUCUGCCAAAUUCUCCAUCUACUUUAGCUUUCUCAAGUUCUGAGCCACAAAAGGAAGAAAUUCCACCACCUGAUUUCAUGCAGGAUAUAGAAUCUGAUCUUUUCACGGAUUUUGGAAACAUUUCAAACAACCAUUCUAUUAACAUACCCCAAAACUGCCAUUUUAGCAUUUGUUUACCAAGUGAACAUCAAUUAAGAGAGCUUAUCUCAGUCAUGAGUAGCGAAUGGUUGGAGGAAUCAGAGCUUUCCUCUAAUGUGAUCCGUUAGGACACACCCUCUAUAACUAUACGCUGUGCUUAUGAUUCUGAUCGAUUUGAUGUUCUCUAUAAUCCAGUUGUGGGGAU